AUGAAGCCAGUCAAUGAAACGAAACGCCUCCUCCCCAAAAUCUCCAAUGCCGUGGGGUCCACGGAACGACGUCGGAUGGAGGACCACGCCAGCUCUUCUGCGCUCGCUCGGAUCAGCCUGGGGGAACACGUCGCCAUAGUCUGGAGGUAAGUCGUCGCCGACACCAACGACGGCGGAGGCAGAGGUCGAAACGACGGAAACAGGGGUCAGGAAGACGCCGUUGGUCAUUUGGAAAUGUCGGAAGAAUGGAAUUCGGGUUUUGGGUUGGAAGUGAGUGGAGGUGGGGAUUGAGGAGGAGUUGGAGAGCUUGGGGGAGAGAGUGGAAGGGAGGAGUGAGAGAGAGCUAUUCACGGCCAUUAAGAGAGAAAGUUGCAGAGUGGAAGUGUGGAUGAUGAUGAUGAUGGUGGUUGAUAUUGAUAAGCAUUCAAACAGUACAUGUGCCGACGAAGGAUGCGGAUCAGUUGUGUGUAAUACACCCCAGUAUAUAUACACUAUAUAUUAUAGUGGUUGUCUCUUUCCCAGAAGCGUGUACGAAUCACGAGUGCCAUGUGUAGUCUGGUUCUCCUAUUUAGGAUUAAGAUUGAGAAUUUGAAGAUUCAAGAAUGAGUCCUUUAAAAAAAAUGAAAAAAGAAAACAAGAAGAUAUCAUUGUGUUCCAGGCCGAAGUGGUCAGGUCCGAACCUGACGAGCAAAAACUUCAGACGGUUUACAGAUUUCCAAAUAUUGUCUAUCUAUUAAGUUGACCCGAUCCGACCCGACCUGAUGUUCAGUCCUUUUUGUUCUUUCACUUUCCUAUCUUACCCUUAGUAAUGUGGCUAUACUCCAUUUUUGCAUUUAAAAAAUUAGUAUGGCAUCGGCCUCUUUGACACGUGGGCCAGCCUUUUUUUAUACAUACACGUAAUGCCUUCGGUUUUGAUUCCUUUGGCAAGCAGGUAUUAUAUUUAAUUUUCUUCAACAGCUAUACUUUCUAAAAUCUAUUUCCUUUUUUUUUUUUGGGUAUUUCAUUAUUUAAUUAAUUAUAUACCUAGUCCACUUAGAAAAACUUCAUUGACUUUCCUGAUCUAUUUCCCUGUUUGCCUUUCACCCAAACCUUCCUAAGGCAACGAGGUUAACAAAACCACAAACUAUAUAUACACAGUUAUUAAUGGUUCGUCAGCUAAAUAUAUUUUUUUGUUAACCUAAAGCACCUCUCUAUAAGCACACUAACAAGAUGAAGAGAAAAGCUUCAGAAGUAACAAUGGAGCAGAAAGAAGCGAAGGUGUAUAAAAACAGAAGGUAUGUGAGCUUCUCAAAGAGGCGCAGCGGCCUGUUUAGCAAGGGUAAAGACUUCUGCAAAAAGUUUGAAGCAGAAAUUGGCAUUGUUGUGCUCUCUGAAGCAGGCAGGCCUUACUGGUCCCCGGACAACCCUUCCCUCGACGCCGUCCUCGACCGCUUCAUGCAAUCAGACCAGGCACCUACUAACGCCAUUGAUUUCAAGGUUAGACUACAGAAGAAGAGGAAGAGAGAGGAACCUGAUAAUGAGGUUCAGGGACAGCUUGCGGAGGAGGUGAAGUCAUGUCGAACAGUUAAGGACAUGUUUUCGUUGAGAGACAAAUACUUGGUGCUUCUUCAGGACCAUACCAACAAGAGGAUGAAAGGUUCACAUGUUUUGGAGAAGGGUGAGGCAAAAUGUGUCUCUACCUCACCAUCAAACCUAAGUUUUGAGGAUAGUGUUUGGGUGGAACCAAUUUCAAGGCAUAAAGACAUAUGUUCUAGUUCAACCCUAAAGCUUGAUAGUCAACAUGAUCACCGUCUUGGGAACAACAAUGGUGUCCGCGGCGGCCACGAUGACGGGUGGUUUUGGGAUGAGAUUUUGAAAGAUGGUUACACACAAGGUGUUCUGAAACCAAUAUCAAAAUCCGAAGACGUUUUGUAUGAUUCAACCAUAAAUUUUGAGAGUGAUCGUAAUGUGUUUGAUACUCAUCAUGGUAACAUAAAUGGGGGAGAGGGAUCUUCUUGGUGCAAAGAUUGGGAGAAUGGUAAAGCGCAAUGUGCCUUGAUGCAACCAAUUUCGAAAUCCGAAGAGGUCUUGCAUAAUUCAACCCAAAAUUUGGAGAGUAAUCGUAAUGUUUUUACUGAUCAACAUGGCAACAACAAUGACGAUUAUGGAACUUGUCGGGAUAGAAUUUUGGAAUAUGAUAAGACUCAUCAACUAGCAAAUUCUGAAGACGUCUUGUUUACUUCAACCCCAAAUUUUGAGUGUGAUCGUCUUAACAAGAAAAACGAUGGUGGCGACAACAACAUAUCUUUCUGGGACAAAAUUUUGGAAGAGGGUAAAUCGGAAUGUGUCUCUUUCCAACCAAUAUCAGAAUCCGAAGACUUCUUGUAUAAUCCAAGCCUAAAUUUCGAGAGUGAUAAUCGUGGGUUUGAUCAUUAUCAAGGUGACAACAAUAGUGGUCCGGAACUUUGUUGGAAUGAAGAAUGGGAACAUGGUAAGGUAGAGUGUGUCAAGACACAACCGAUAUCAAAAUCUGAGGACAUCUGGGCUAACACAACCCCAAAUUUUGAGAACAAUCAUGAUCAUGUUCAUGGUGGUAAAAGACAGUAAUUUUUUAGUAAGUUAGUAACCAAAAAUUUGGUGCUUUCCUGAAUAACACGUGUAUGUAUGUAUGUGCAUACAUUCAACUAAUAGAUCCUAGCACAGUUAGAAUUACACCAUUCUGAAGAGUUGUCGAAGCAGAACUACAAUAUAAUGUCAAUUUACAACCAAGAUUGUCAAAUUAUAACACAUACAAAAUUGUCACCGCAGUAAAAGUAUAUUAUAAAAUUAUUAGUGCACAAAUAAUAUGAAAAUCUCACUUGAUAUAUCUGGGUCAUUACGGAAAUCUUCAAGCUCACUUUUAAGUUCACCUUCACUCCUAAUAAGCCUCUCUGCAGCCUGACAAAGCGCUAAACUAAGAAAUAGUUUUUGGUGUAAGAAAUGAAAAACUGUUCUGAGUUAAGUGAAAGUCAUGGAAAACUGUUCACGAUGACUUUUAAGUUCACCUUCACUCCUAAAUAUCCCAACUUCAGUUUCACACAGUUCAACAUGAAAAACUGUUCUAAGAUUGCUGAAGUGAAAGUCAUGGAAAACGCACAAAGACGAGGAACAGUAAUGCUGUUCGCAUCAUUUACCUUAGCUAUCAGAGGAUCCUUUAAGUCAGCAACAGUUGAGUAAUUCACGCGGUCAGAAUCACUGCAUGAACCAGUACACCACAAUCCCAUAAGACAAAUCCAUGUAGAAACCCAUAUAAAAAAACUCAAUAUGAUGGCAGAUGCAUUAAUAAAGUUUUCCUCACACUGGUUUUGGAAGCUCUUCCUUUGUCAACAAACCAUCAUUGACAAGCUCCUCAAGAGGUAUCAACAGAGUGUUACCACAAUUUGCAUCCUGACAAAAUCCCAUGAACCAAAAUUACCCACAAAUUCAAUUGUAAAUCACAAUGAGGAUAUGCCACACUACAGCCAAUCAAAAUAUUAGGCUUUACACAAUUCACAUAUGAAAUCCAAGCUGUGUGUGUAUAUAUUAUAUAGAUAUAUAAGCAAUUGGGUAAGUUUUGACAAAAAAAAAUAAAUAUAAAGCAAUUGGGUAAGUAUAAUUUUACCUGACCAGAGUAAGGGGAGCCCUCUUCAUUGGCUUUCCUACCAGGGGGAACCAGUGGAAGCACCUGCCAGAGGGAGCACCCGGCUUCAUGAAGCCAGUCAAUGAAACGAAACGCCUCCUCCCCAAAAUCUCCAAUGCCGUGGGGUCCACGGAACGACGUCGGAUGGAGGACCACGCCAGCUCUUCUGCGCUCGCUCGGAUCUGCCUGGGGGAACACGUCGCCAUAGUCUGGAGGUAAGUCGUCGCCGACACCAACGACGGCGGAGGCGGAGGUCGAAAGGACGGAAACAGGGGUCAGGAAGACGCCGUUGGUCAUUUGGAAAUGUCGGAAGAAUGGAAUUCGGGUUUUGGGUUGGAAGUGAGUGGAGGUGGGGAUUGAGGAGGAGUUGGAGAGCUUGGGGGAGAGAGUGGAAGGGAGGAGUGAGAGAGAGCUAUUCACGGCCAUUAAGAGAGAAAGUUGCAGAGUGGAAGUGUGGAUGAUGAUGAUGAUGAUGGUGGUUGAUAUUGAUCAGCAUUCAAACAGUACACCGACGAAGGAUGCGGAUCAGUUGUGUGUAUUACACCCCAGUAUAUUUAUAUACACUAUAUAUUAUAGUGGUUGUCUCUUUCCCAGAAGCGUGUACGAAUCACGAGUGCCAUGUGUAGUCUGGUUCUCCUAUUUAGGAUUAAGAUUGAGAAUUUGAAGAUUCAAGAAUGAGUCCUUUAAAAAAAAUGAAAAAAGAAAACAAGAAAAUAUCAUUUUGAUUCCAGGUCGAAGUGGUCAGGUCCGAACCUGACGAGCAAAAACUUCAGACGGUUUACAGAUUUCCAAAUAUGGUCUAUCUAUUAAGUUGACCCGACCCGACCCGACCUGAUGUUCAGCCCUUUUUGUUCUUUCCCUUUCCUAUCUUACCCUUAGUAAUGUGGCAAGUAUGAUGCCCGCUUUGGUGUUGAUGUGUGAAAAAAAUAAUAACUUUUUUUUUUGCGCACCCACCCUUCCAUCUUCUGUUUCCCCUCUUUCUUCAACAACAAAAUCCAGAUUCGGAUUUUUUAAGAGUUUUGGGAUUUGAGUAGUGGCUUGGCUAUCGGGCGGUAAGGUCGGUGGUGGGUGCGUUGGGGCGGCGAUGGCUAUCGGUGGCUGGGUGGCUAGGUGCGUUUGGAUUUUGAACUUGCAGAGAGAGAGGCGGUGGCCGAAAAAUUUUAAAACGACAGUGGCGGUGGCUACAACACUGAAAAUCUUGCCGUUGAAUCUUCCCUUUAAAAUUGACAGCUUUUUGGUUGUGAGAUACUCAACCAAACCCCUUCUGCCUCCCACAUCAGGCUCCAAGACUUCAACCCUUUGGGUGGGCACCCCCAUCACAGAGCAUUCGUGUUUUUUUUCACGUCGGCACUAACGACAAAACUUUAUGGUUCUGUUGAGGGGGACGGAAGGGGCGAAGAGACAGAGGGUGGGUGGGGUUUGGGAUUUGUUUUAGAAUUCUUUUUUUUUUUUUAAAAAAAAAUACAUCAACAACUAGGUAUCUCACUUGCCACGUCAUUAAAAGUGAAUUAGAAAGAUAAAGAAAAAAAAUGAAAAAAAUUAAUUUUUCUUUUAAAAAGCGAAGAGGCACGACAGAUAAAGAAGAAAGAGAAAAAAGAAGAAGACGGGAAAGAAUAAAAUAAGAAGAAAAGAAAUAGGAUUCCAUUAAGUUCGGUUUUGGUUUUGACAACAACAAUUAAAGAAAAACAAUGAAAUUUCUGGAAAUUUUAAAAAAAUUAUUAACAAUUUAUAUAAAUUAAAGAAAAAAAACAGAUUUAGCCAUUACUUCUUUCGUUCAUGUAAUUAGAUGCAAGCAAUUAAUUUCACAAAUUCAACUGACAAAUCUUUUGUACCGUUGAUAAAAAAAACAUAUUUUAUAUAUAUUUUGUACCAAAGUUGUUGUCAGCACAAUUAAGCCAAGUUUUCCAAACUAUGAUUACUAUCCAGAUUAUCGCAUGGGUUAAAUUAUGAUUUUUGCCCUUGAGGUUUUGUUCCACGUGGUUUUCUCAGUGAGGUUGUCAUUAAUAUGAUGAUUCUCACUCUAUAAUAUUUCAUGAUUUUUAAUGGACAGUCCCGAUCUUUUGAACUAUGGAAUAUCUUUUCGUAUAAAAAAAAAAUUUAAUUAAAGCAUCACGUAGAGUUGCAAUUCAAAAUCCCAAGGGGCCAACGAAACAUACAACUUUAUUUAUUUAUUUUUAUGCCACAAUCAGAUUCAACCAUUAGUUCUUUCAUUCAUGUAAUAAGAUGCAAGCAAUCAAUUUCGAAAAUUCAACUGGCAAAGAUUCUAUAGUUAUGCUGUUCUCAGUACAUUUAACUCAAGUUUGCCUAAAUUAUUAUUACUAUCCAUAUCAUGACACAUAUCAAAUAUUUCUAUAUAUAAUUUAUGGUCAUGUUUAGUUGGCUGGAUUGGAUUGGAUAUAUUCAAUUAAAAUGAACAUGGGUCUAAUUUAUUUUUUUAAUGAACUUAAUUGUAUCACAGACUGGAUAUUGAACAUUAGAUCUAAAUCCCAAAUAACUAUGGCUCUAAAACCCCAACUCCGAUCCAAUCCAAUUCGAUUCAAUAUCGAAAUUUUUAUUUAUUAUUAAAAAAACAAAACACCCCAAACCGAACAUGUCAAUUCAAGUUACUCAGGAUACAGUUUCAAAUGCCCAGCUCUAAUAAGGACUACGUCUCCGGGGAUUAACGAAACCACGGGGAUGUAUGUACUUUAAUUGAAUCCCAAGUAAGCCACUGGCAAUUGGCACUUUGACCUCUUUGUAAGAUUUGCAAAAUGGGGCUUACGCCAGCCACCGUCCUUGUUUGCUUUGUGGCCUCAGCGACUAAUUUAAUUUGCCUUCUUUCUGGAUGGUUAUUGUUCAUGGCGCAUAUAUGACCAUAUAAUAUAUUAUAGAAUUUUUUUAUUUUUUUAUUUUAAUACUUGAUGUUUGUCAACUUCCCAAUUUAAUACCUAAAUUGUUAUUUGUCCCAUUUAGACCCAAGUAUCAAAUUUUGAAAAGGAAAUUAGUACAGGCAAUCGGUAAGGGAGUUAAUACAAAUAUUUAUUGGGUGUCCGAGAUUUCGAAACUCUGAUCGCUUGAUAAAAAUUUUAUUUGGCUACAAAUCUGAGUCACAGUAGCGGUUAAAAUUUCACAAAGGAUGAACUCAAUGCCAUUGCCAUUCAUCCAACACUCCUCAAUCUAUACUAUGAUAUAUCACUAUAACAUUCACUAUUAAUUAUGGGAAUUAUACAUAUAAUUUUCCAAUUAAUUAAUCUAUCCCGUUGACUUUCAGAUGCAGAAACGUUGACCACAUGGUCACCUUUCUUCAUCAUCACACCUCAUCAGACCAAUCGCUAAGGUCUGUAGUCUCAUAAAACAAGCCAUCCACAAUCUGAUCAAUCAACGAAUCUAUUAAACCGUUACAGCUUAAGCUCAAGACCCGACCCACGUUCUUCCGGUUACUGGAUAGCCAAGCAGAGACCGCCGCGCAAGCCACAGCAGCCAAACACACCCCCGCCGCCUCCGCGAUCCCCUCCACCUCCACCUUCCCAAACAAGGAGUUUCCAGUCACCGCCUCCGUCGCUACCGUCGCAGCGAAAAUCACCAUGGCCAGCCGACCCGACAGGAUCUCGAAGUCUUGGCUCUUCUUCGAGCUCUCGAUGUACUCCGACAACGCCGCAAAGAACGGCGACGUGUCGUCCUUCUUCGUCCUCAUCAGUCCGGCGAGAUCUGAGCCGUACGAUCUCAGAGUACAGAGCCGCGGCUGCAGCACGAUCUUCGCGGUCUUCGGCUCCGGCGCCACGGGUUUCGGAACCGGUACCUGAACUGGAACCGCCGGGUCGCGCCUGCUAACCGCCGGGUUUUCCUGCCUCUGCAGCUCGCAGCGAAUGGCGCGCGCCGCCGUGGCCAUGGAAUUAGAGGAAAGUUAGUGAGAAGGUGCGUUUUGAGGAAUUGGCUCGAUUCCCAGAAUCCGGGGGUUUUUGAGUAUUGGGGAUUCGGGACGUGUAUUUGAGAUUCGGUGGGUGGCGGUCUUGAGCCCACGUCUUGGAUGGGUUGUGAGGUGGAGGCUAGCGAAUGUGGGACCCUCUGUUGGGACGUGGCAGCUGAUAUGCUCGAUAAUGUAGUUUUCAUUUGGAGGAAAAAACAACAGGGUGAUUAGGUUGAUCACAGUCCUGUCGUUUUUAUCAGGAAAGUCAUGGAUUCUUCUUAUGUCCGUACGAAGAGGAAGGAGCUAUGGAUUUUUCUGUGAACAGGAAGAGUAGAUUUUUUUUGGCCCAAUACCCCUCAACUACAUCGAUUGUGGAAUUUAGCAUUCUGAAUUAUUUUUUCAAUUAAUUUAGUCCUCGGCUUAUUUUAAAUGAUCAAUUUAGCCCCUCUCGUGAAAUUUUUACACUUCCAUUCAAUUUUCCCUUAAUUAUAAGGGUAAAUGUGUCAUUUUACAAGGUAUAGUACCAAAAACAAAUAAAAUAUGUAAAAAAUGAAAAAAAAAUUCAAAAUAGAAAGAACAAAAGAAAACCAAUAAAUCCCCACCCGAACACCAACUCCCCUCUCCUCGUCUACCUUUUCACACGAGGAGCCUUUCAAUUUUUGCAUUCUCAUUUGCCAUUUGGAAAUUUCACGAUUUGCUUCAAGGGAAAUUAAGGUGAAUAUUGUUUGGGUGCUUCUGCUUGAGCUCCAUACGAGCUCUCUUGGUUGGUUUCUUUGUGGGUUUUGUGUUACAUGUGAUUUGGUUCAAUAUUUUGGCAACUUGGGGGAAGAAAACUUAUGGGUUUUCUUCAAUUCUUUAUGUUGUAUUCAGAGUUCAACUUCUCAUCAGGAAAACUUUCGUGGGUAUGUGAAGAUUUUCUUAUAUAUGGUGGAAAUUGGGAUAUAACAUGUUUUUUUCUUAAGGAAAAUUGAAUUGGAUUGGUACCAAAUCGUGAAAGUUAGAAGGUUUUGUUUAAUUUUGCGUGAUGAAGCUUGUUGGGAGCAUUGUCGAUACCGUCGCCGUGGCUUGUUGGACUGGUUUAUGCCAUGCAUAGUUGAGUUUUUAAGCAAUGAGGAUUGGACUGUGCAGAAGGCCGUGGCUAAGGCGCUUGGGAAGGUGGCCUUGGUGGAGAGAGAUUUGACGACGAUGUACACAAGUUAAAUUAAAAUAAAGAAAUCAUUAUCUAAUAUGAUUGUAAGAACUAAAAAAUGGAGAAGUAGGAGAUAAAAUAUUAUUUUGUUAAAAAGGAAAAAAGAGAACUAUGAACAUAGAAAAAAAAUAGAGACAUAAACAUAGAGACAACGAAAAAUAAAACUAUAAACUUUUUUUUAUUUUUAAAAAGGGAGAUAAACAUAGAGAAAAAAAAGUAAAAAAAGAAGAGAAAAACAAUGUAAGCCCAUUUGGGCCCGGUUCGGUGAACUUUCUCAGGCCUAACCCAUGAAGCUUGGCCUGCCCUGUUAACUGAAGUCCAGCCCAGCCCAUUAACGAUCUUUAUUCAAACUUGGACAUCUCCAACUUCUAUUUUGUAGUGGCUCAUUGUCAUUGUUACUACUUGACCCUCUGGCUACAGGGAGCUGCUAGAAUGCAGAGGCUAUUAUGAGGAGGUUAUGUGCGGAAUGAUAACAACCAUCAAUUUUAAAUGAACGGUUCAGAUUUAAGUAGGAAGUUUUUUUACAAUCGGGUUAAAAUUACCCAUCACAAAAUAAGCAACCCGGAACUUCUCUCUCAUAUCUCCUAUUUUCUUUGAAACAGAGGUCCAAAGUCCUACGUCUGAAACUUCCUCUAGAGACAAACAAGAGCUGCCCCUUUUCAACUUCCAGAAGCCGAAUUUGCUGCUCCAAAAAGAAAAAAAACGAAGACACUCAGAUGUGGAGGACGUUGCUGAAGAAGAAGGAACAAGGGUUGAAACCCACAACUCAAUUCUUUCACUGGUAUGUGAUUUUUCAGCCCUAUUGCAAACCCUUUUAUUCAAAAAAUAUUCUGUUUUGUUAAACCCCUGUCAUUAAUGUUGCAGAAAAUGGUUCAUCAUUACCCAUUACAACAACUAUAACCUAAGAGCUCUCUUAUUCUGUCUUUGUGUCACAAAAAUUAUUUGCAAGAUCUUCAUAGUAGAGAGAAAAGAAGAAAAAGAGACAAAUGAUAUGUUGAAAGAGCCUCCAGUAGUCUCUCACUCGCCUAACUUUGCACUCCGUUUCUGAACAAGUAAUACCCAAGUUUUGAAGAACUUGUAGUACUCUUCUUCAAUUCCAAUUGCGAUGGUAAGUCAAACACUGCAAAACCACUUCUCUUUGUUUCUUUAUUUCACUGAUUUUGCUUUUAAUGUUUUCCAAUUUCUUGUAAUCAUUAUUAUUUUUUAUUCUCUUUUGUAUUUAUAUUUUAUUUGAAAAAUUGAUUUUUACAGUUUUUAUUUUAUUUUCAUACGUAAAUAUUCUUUCUUGCGUUUAACCCCUUACUACUUUGGGUUUUAUUAUGAUGCCUUUAGUAUAUUGGCUUUAAGCUUUGUUGAAUCAAUAAUUAAUAAAUAAUGAAAAUAACAACACGUUAAUCUAAUGGUGAUCUUUAUGGGUCUUGCAUACAUACAGUAAAAUUAAUGUUUGUAAGUUUUAUGAGAAUGUCAAUAUUUUAACAUACUUUUGAUACUGUAAAGUUGGCAUAUGUUGGAUCUUUAUUUUCUCUAUUGUUUUGGUGCAGUCUACAAUCCUCAAGGUUGGUAUCAUGCCAAGGUUGUGUUGGUGCCGUGAAAAGGGUUCUUGGAAAACUUGAAGGUUUGUUGAUAACUCUUGCAUUUAUCUAGUUCCAUUGUCUUGCUCUUCUUCUUCUCUGAGACUAUGCUUCUUUAACUGUUUGAACAAUGCCAAAUGCACUAUUGAUGAUUUCCUAAUUUGUAUUUUUGUUCGCCUGCCAAGACACACAUUCACUUCACCCAUGUUUAUUACUUUUGAAUUGCAAUUGAGUAGUAUGAAAUUGUGUGCAUGAAUAUGAACUUUAAUUUUGCAAUGGUACUGUCUUGUGAAAGUUUGCCAUAUGAAGAAUUGGGUCAUUUAGAAAAGCCAACAAUCUAUAUGAAUUUCGGUAUUGGUUUUUGUUUUGAAAUUGGUUUUAGUUGUGAUUGAAUGUUAUGUUUUUGUUUCCACUGUGAUUGAAUGAUUUGCUUCUAAUAUGCAUUUUUGAUCCAUUUUAUACAGAUGGAAGAUUGUCUUGUUUCAAUUGGCGGCGUUCUUUUGGGGAGGAAAUUGCUAACUUUCAGCUUAAAUUCGGGUCUAAGAGGACAUGUCUUGGAAUUUUUCUUAUACAUAUGAAUUGUGUUAAAAUUCUAGACCAAGAGGAGAUGAAAUUUUUUUGUUUUUUGCCACUUUCUUAUGUAUAUCUUAAGAUGUAAUGAGAUAACAUUGUUAGUUCAUCAAUUUAUGAAAGUCAAGUUAGAAGGAAAUUUGUCAAUCUCUAGUUUCCAUGGUUUUAUCGUUCCCCUUGCAAAGAAGAAAAAAAUACAAAUGUAACCAAAUCAAUGAUUUAAUUGGCAAAUGCCAGGACUGAUAUGUAUUGCAUAUGUAUUGCACAUGUAUAGCUAUUUAUUGCUUGUGUAUUGGCCCCGUAUAUCUUUUUUUAAAAGUAUGUUGGAAUAAAUUUAUAGGGGGAGUAUGAAGUUUGUGUAUUGCCAUUGUAUAGCCUUUUAUUGCUUGUGUAUUGCUACUGUAUUGCCAUCGUAUAGCCUAUUAUUGCCUGUGUAUUGCCCCCGUAUAUCUUUUUUUUAAAGCCUUGGAAUAAAUUUAUAGGGGGGGUUUGUGUAUUGCCAUUGUAUAGCCCUUUAUUGCUUGUGUAUUGCUACUGUAUUGACCUCGUAUAUCCUUUUUUUUUUUUUUCAAGUCUGUAUUGCGGGUAUGAAUGUGGGGAUGGGGGAAAAAAGCUUCACGGGGAUGGGGAUGGGAAUGGGAUACCCACCCCUGAUUUGACCCAUUGCCAUCCUACAAAGGCAAGAAGAAUUAGCUAUAUAUACACAUAAUGUAUAUAAUGUGCUCUCUUCAAUUAAUAAUAUAAAUAAAAGUAUUUUUCCAUUGCAUACACUUGCAAAUAUAUACAAACAACAUAUUCAAGACUGAAAUUUCUCAAGUAAAUUAAACUCAAUUUCAUUCUACGAGGACUAAAUAAUUACAUGGUCUGUCUGACACACAAAUAGUUCCUUAAUUACAUGUUUUUUUUCCUUAUAACUAUAGUACACUUCUUGCAACAGAAUGGAAUGUUGUCCCACCCCAAAUUGAUGAAGGUUCUCAAUGACAACAAUCUUCUAGAAGCCAACAAUAAUCUUGCUCCAACUGUUAUGAAAAAAAAAUGUCAAUUAUCUCAAGACUUAAGAGUUAGGGUUUCAAAUCGCUAGAGACCAAGCUUGUGGGAUAUGGGCCGUGACAUGAUCACGUACUCUACCAAUUGUUGCUUCACCUUCCCAAAUUCAUCCAUCAUCUUCCUCUACAACAGAAACAAAAUAAAGCAAUAUCAAUAUGUACAUAUAUAAAUAUGUAUAUACAGAGUAAUACAAAAGACAAAUUGGUACUAAUGAGGUAGAUCUUUGAUAUGCUCUAUUGGAACCAUCACUUUCCUUUUAUUGCUAUAUAUGCAGAUGCGCAAAAGCACAAACAAGCCCAAUUUAAAAUCUCCUACUUGCGUAUCAAGAAAAGACUCAAAGCAGACUAAGUUUCUUAUAAAAAUAGAGUUCAUUGUUUUUCGUCUGUGCUUCAUUCGUAACUUAUAACUCACAUGGUAUCCAAAAUUUCACGCAGUGCAUCAAAACUCAAUCAAGUUAACUCUGGAACAAUGAGAGAACAACAAUAUUAAUCAAUGAAAGAAUUAUGAAAGAGGCUACCAUUGAUCAACAACAUUAACUCCAGAACAUAGACACCACAGAGGUAUGCAGUACAAUUUACUUUCAUUCAAUUUCUACACAAAAAUAAUCUUUUAGAUUGAUAUAGUCAUUCAUUGCAAACUGAAAUUUCACAGCCAUGAGAAUAAUGCCAAGAGGAAGAGUAUCAUAUCACCUCAAAAUUGGAAAACAUCUAAUGGACGAGGAAAAGCAAAUCUACCAAGCACAAGACGAAAAGCCUUACUGCUCAAGCUUGAUCAGUGCAUAUCUACAUGGGCGUUAACCCUCGUAUGAUCAUAUUGCUUAUUUUUUCUAUUCUUGGCAUUGGCUUUGCACCAUUUAUGUUUUAACAGUACAUGAAUUGUUCCAAAUUAAAAACUUCAAACCGCAGGUCCUAAUUAUAGGCAGUAAAUUAUGACUUAAUAAAAAAUAGUCAUUGGAGUUGGAUCUAGGAAGCUGAAAGCAUCACAUGGUUCAAAGAAACCAAAUCAGGGGACCACGUACAACAGGGGCUGUUGUGCUAGCUAGUACUGCAGGGCAGGGCAGGGCAGGGCAAGGCAGGGCAGAGCAUGGCAAGGGACAUUUGGAUGCAAAUGCUAGAGAUAUAGACCCUUUCUUUUAGGUAAAUGAGGAAGACGAAGCAGCAGAAAAACCUGGCCAUGUGAAGUAGCAGCAUCAGACCCUUUCUAUGUUUCUUUUGUUUGUUCACAUACUUUUUUGUCAUAUCAUGGCCCUUAAGAUUCCUGCAAAAUAAUAACAUGAACUUUAUUUCUCAAUUUCACAAUGACACAAAACAGUGUAGUAUUAACUUGUUCACAGCACAAGUUAAAUGGCGAUGUCGAAAUGAAAGAAACUCAAGGCAUGACACAAAAGUUGAAAAAUAAGAAAAUAAAUCUAAUAGAAUUCCAAAUAUCAAAUGACACAACCAAGUAUCCAUUCACUAUAAACUGACAUAAUAUGGCACCUGUGUAAGUCUUCAUGUAAAAACAGGGACAUUUCUCAAGCAUUGUUAAAAGGUAAUUAAACUAAUGUCAAUGGCGAUCUAACAAAACCAUUAUGCACUGUAAAGACAUCUUCGUAAACAAAUUAUAAUAAAACUCACAUGUGCUUCCUUCCAUUUAGAUGGGUUCAUUGGGUCCUCCUAGAAGUUCACCUUUAAGUAUAUACCAUGAGAAUUGUCCCAAUUGGUUUGUAUCUCAAAGAAAACCAUAGUGCGCCUCAUUAAGGUGAUUCAUCGAACACCUACAGGCCAUUUUUUCAUGCACUCAUCAACUCAGCCUAACCAAACAAAUAGAACCAUAUAUUUAGAACAAGCAAAUAAGCAUGAUAAAUAAAACGAUGUAGCAAGAAUUUGGAUUUUGAGCAACUUUCUAGACCACUAUAUGAAAUUGAAACAAUCAGAAGAAAACCCAAAUAACAUAUGGGUAUGAAAGUAAAGGCGAAAAGUUGAGCUGGGUACCUGGGACGUCAUCUCUAGGUAUAUGGAUUUCAGGAAUGCUGAAGAAAUUGAGAAAUUUAUUGAACCGGAGGGGAAGAACGGCGGUUGAAAUAGGUGACAGAGAGUGAAAGAUGGAGGUGGAGAACAGCGGCCGAAAGAGAGAGAGUGCGGUCGUCGUUGCUGAUGUGGGUUCUGAGGAGGUGACAGUUGAGUACUUCGAUUGUGAAUAGCAUUGCUCAAUGGGUAAUGCCAACCCGGUUGUAGCAUAAAGAGGAUACUAAUGUCAGCCAUUUGAUCAAUCUAAUGGCCUAGUAAGUAGUCCCCACAAAUAACCUCCGCAUAGAAUCUCCGCAUUAUAGUCUCGCCGUCUGGCUACAUACAUAUAUCCAACAGGAGUAGUUCUGGGCUAGAAUAUAUCUAAUUUUUCUAAGUGUAAACAAUCUACAUUAAUUAAUGAACAGAUAAUGAAUCGAAAGAUAUGAACAAAGAAAGAUGCAUCUUUGUUGAUGAAUCAAAUGAAUCGAAGACACCCUUCACCGUCAUUUCAUUAGGCCAACGUCUUAUCUUGGGUAACAAUUCUUGUUUCUACCCUAAUUCAUACAUAAAUCACAAUAAGUCUACUUCUUUCCCUUCCCCUAGUAUAAGUUACAAUGUCACAUAUACUGUCAUAUCCUUACAAAGAAAAUACUGAGCUCAGGCCCAUUAUUUCCUUCUGGGCUCAACAUGUACAAGGUCUCUGAGUCCUUCGAGCCCACAAUGCGUUCGAAGAGGGCCCGCAUGUACACCAUCUCGCCAUCCGGGCCCUCAACCUCAGACUUCCCGGGUAAGACAGCUGCGCCCAUGGUCACAGCCUUGAGAAGCUCCAUGACACUCAAGUCUUCCUCCGUGGCCUCCCUCUUCACCGCAUAGCCACUCUUCUUCCCGUUGCAAUACAUGGUCCACACCGGCUCGUCCAAAAGACUCGUCUUGUCCCUAUCCGCUCUCUUCUCGCAUUCCAACGCAAUCCUCACCAUCCCAGACCCCAUCUCCUUCUGAAGCACGUUCGUCUGCAUGGCCAGCUCAACCACAAGGCUUGGGAGACACCUAGGGGUUUCUUGAAUGGACAGGGACACGCGUCCUUUACGAUACCCGAACAGCGUGCCGCUGACUCGGGUUCCAGAGGAGGCGGUCUUGCUGGAGUCCAUCCUCCCCAUGGGGAGUGAUGGCAUCCUGCAGGCGGGGGUGAUGAUGGGGAAGGACCGGAAAACAGAGCGAAACACUCGGAUGACUUUGCUUCUACUUUUUCUAUUUUGGGAUGGUUGGAGGAGGGAGGAGGGUUGGCGGGGUAGCGGCGGAGGCAGUGGUGGGACUGUGGAUGAGGAGGAUGCCGUUUGAUGAAGCUGAUCUUGUGAUGGAGAUUUUGGCUCCCCCAUUAAUGGCUUUGAUGACGAACCAGGAAUGGGAGAGUGCCAUGAGAGAGACAGAGAACUGAGACGGACAAAGAAAGAGGGAGAGAGAGAGAGAGAAGUGGGAGCGCAGAGAGAAAGGGCCUGUGUCUAGUCGUUGGGAAAGUUUGUUAUUGGAUUUGCGGUUUUGGAUGUGCUUGCGAAGCUGAAAUUCCGGUGGUUGACCAUAUCUAUUUUAGUAUAUUUACCUUCUAUAUAUGUAACGCAUAUUUUAAUUAAUUAUGAGAGUAAUUAAAUCACAUUUGGAGGCACUUUUCAUGUAUGUUAUUGGCUUAUGAAUUAGAAAUUGGAAUGACAAAUAUUUUACGUGAGAAAUUGAUUUUGCUUAUUGCACUUUUGAAGACACUUUUCCUUUUGUUUUGAUUAAUGUCUUGCAUUCUGGUGGUUGACUAAAAACACGCAAAACAUAAAUGUGCACGUUGAAUCCAUUGAUGUUUCAGUUUGAAAUUUGUAUGGUUUAACUGAUGUAGUGUAUUCGAAAUAUGAACGAUCAUGAUUAUGUGGUGUAUUCGAAAUAUGCAAAAAAUUACUCCCGCUAUGGUAGUGUUGCUACAUAGUAUCAUGUUUUUUUAAGAAUAACUACAAAGUUGCCUAACGCCAUGUGUGUAGGCCAAAUACUAGGCUGUAGUUGAGACUACUGUCCCAAGUUAAAGCAUCUGCUGCAAAGUUUGCCCCUCGAUCCAAUAUUGAACAAAAUCCAAAAGGAAUAGCUCAUGCAAGUUUAAUACAUCUUUUGGAAUGUCUUAAAACAGCACCAGCCGCGACUCACGAACGAUAGAACCAUCAAAUUUUAGCUUUCAAUGAUAAUCAUAAGAGGGAUACCAUUUUAUAUUUCCCUUGUUUCUUAAGACUAGUAUUAUGAAUGUUCCAAAAAGUGAAAGAAGGUGUUUUAUAGAAGGAAUUGAAGAGAUAUCAAUAAGGGCUUUUCAAUUAAAAAUGACCUGGUUAUGUUGAAACCAAGCAUUAUUUGUUAGAGAUAUAAUGAAAGGCACUUUGAUCAACUAGAAGUUUUGGGUCAUUUGGGACAAUGAUCACACCCUAUAAGACUGGGCUGUGUAUUUAUGGGCUACGGAAUUUUAAGUUUGGUACUCAUAACCCAUAUGACUUAAAAUGAUCUAUGUGAGUUAUCAAAUGGGUCAAACCCACCAACUUCACUAUAUGGGCGAUUUUGGUUCUCUAUUGGGUGGUUGGAAAAAGAAAACCCAACAAACCAAAACUGAGACCAUGAAUGUUAGCUAAACAUUCAACAAAAGAAUAUCCUUCUUUUAAACAUCGGACCCACUUUUUACAUGGGUUGAUUCAUCGCAGCAGGAUCCACCAUCUCUCGAGGUUUCCCAGGCAUGAUUGGAAGCAUCGACUGCAUGCAUUGACAAUGGAAGAAUUGCCCAACUGCUUGGCAAGGAGAUUAUGGGAAUAUGAUUGGCCAAAAAAAGUAUAAUUCUGGAGGCCGUUGCAUCAUUCGAUACAUGGGUUUGGCAUGCCUUCGGAGUUACCGGAUCUCAAAAUGACCUCAAUGUGUUUGGUCAAUCCCUGGUAUUCAACGAUGUCUUGAGAGGUCAUUCCCCCCAGAUCACGUAUCAAAUCAACAAUACUGUAUACUCAGGAGGUACUACCUAGCCAACCAAAUUGUUCACCCUUUUAUGUUCGUUCAUGUGAUGGUAGGGUAAAGCUCCCCAUUGCCAUGAAAACCACUGACUGGUCAACAAGUCAACUUUCAUUAAUGUGUGAGCAUGCCACUGCUAACAAUGAGAAUUCUAGCAGACUUCUUUAAAAUAGAUUACUUGCGCCCCAAGUUACUGAUUUCUAAGGAAGCAAUUGUGAAUUUGGGUGAGGAAUAUCUCCCAAGUAAGUUCUUUUCUUGCCUCAGACUGGUGAGGACUUCACAAUUUUUCACAGUAUAAAACUGGUAGUUCUAGCCAGAAUAAAUGAUAAGAAAACGAACUGUUUUUAGGCAGAACUGUCUUUUACAAAACUCAAAAGGAAAAAACCAACUCUAGAAAGACAAAAAGAAGGCUGGACUUCCAUUUCUGCUUGGGUAAAGGCUUCUAAUCCGGGCUGGAUUGGAUAUGCCUGUGCUGGACUAGACUAUCAAUACUUUCAACUAUCAAGUUUUAGUUGUAAAUCGAUACCAAUGUUCGAGUUUGGCAGAGCUUUAAUCUAUUUCAAGUCUUGGAAGGCUUUUUGAAUGGGCAGAAUUGGAACCUCUUCAGUCUGGAAGGGGCAUAAGUGGCUGGACUUGAUGAUUACUGAGCUGGAAUUGCACUGUAGUACCUAUUCUACUUGAUCAGGGCUCUCCAUAAAUUUGUUGAGGUUUUCAUAUCUAUAAAAUCCGAACUCUGCUUGAUUUGGCUUAUGCUGGACCAAAUGUGUAACGAGAAAAAUCUCGUUUUGAAUGACUUAUUUCUCUAAGUCUGAACUAGAGUUGGAAAUUUUGAUUUGUAGCUGGCUUCUUUCUUGUGGCUCAAUGAGCUUUUGGUUGCUUAAGUGUUUUGAAGGUUUUUGAGAUCAAGUGAUCAUUUUGAGUUUUUGCUUUUGAUCGAUUUUUUGGUUGUCCUCAAUCUGUUCACCUCCUCUCAUAUUUAUAGAAAAUGUUGGAGUGGGGCUUCUAAUCUUUUAAUAAUAGGCGGCAAAUUUUUCAAAAACGAGAUCUUUUAUUUUAAAUGCAAAGAAAAAGGGAAGUUAUCUGUUUUGGCAGAGAAGAACCAUCAGUAGUCAGUUUUCGUGGAGGUCUUUUCCUUGCUUUUCUGAAAGAAAAACCAACUCUUCUUUAUUCUUUGUUUGUUCUUGGUAAGGAGAAAGAACACAAUCUGACGUGAUGGUCAGUUUGUUUUCCUUGUUUGAACAACUCCCUUGCUUCCCACUUAUCUUUUGAAAUCGUAAUUUGCUUAUCUCUUGGAAAGAUGUUGAAAGGUGUUUUGGUAUCCUGCAAGCUCGUUGGGCAAUUAUUAGGGGUGCUGCUCGUAUGUUUGAUGAAGAGGUGCUUCGGAGCAUUAUGUUGACUUGCAUCAUCCUCCAUAACAUGAAUGUGAAGGAUGAGUAUGAUUAUGAUGCCCCAGUGAUGUUCGAACCUGAUCCCAUGAACAUGGCAUUUACAAGAAUUUAUGAACAGCCCGUGGGAGCAAAUGGAUAACCAUUGGAGCACGAAUUGUUGAUUAGGGACGGUCGAUACAACAACUGUAUGAUUGACCAUUAUAUGAAAAUGCAAUCUUCUUAUGUUCACAAGAGAUGUCAAGUUGACUUGAUUGAGCACUUAUGGGUGAUGAAAGGCAAUCAUGGUGGAUGAAGUCAAGUUUAAUGCUUUGUUUGGAAUUUUGCUUUGUUUUAAAUUAUGCUUUGUUUUGUGUGUGGUUUGUAAUGAAUUAAGGUUUGUUUUGAUGAAUGAAAUAAAUAGCUAUAUUAUUUAAUGCUUUCUUUAUUCAAUAAAAGAGAAACAAUACAACAAAUUAAUACAUAUGACAACUCUUUCAAUACAACCUAAUGGUUUUGAUCAUUUAACCAAUCUGUGUUGCUAGGUCCAUAGUCAUGGAAAAGCUUUCUUCUCAUAGCAUCUAUUCGUUUUAGCUUCCAAUAGGAAUUUGUUUCAGGAGACAUAUGGCUAGUAUCCAUGGCCAUGAUUUUUAUCUUUAUCCUCCAUGUCUUGCUGUUGUGCAUGCUGCCUUUCAAUUGCAUAUGCUUCAUAUCGUGCCUUGUCAGCUUCUUCUCUUUUCAAGUCUCUCAAUUCUCAGUGCGUCGUUCUUAGCAAUUUGCUCCAAAUUUUUUGUACAUUUAGUGUUCGAAGUGCUCCCUCUCUUGGCCUUUGCUGCCUUUCUCUCAAUAGGCUUCGGAUCAUGUUGGAUUGGUAAGUCUUGAUCCAUUGGGAAGUCCAAUGGCGAAUCGGUUACCGGUGAAUCGUGGAGCGACGUCUCAUUCAACACAACCGUUGGACCAGUGGAAAUAAUUUUGAACCUCGAACAACUCUUCACAACAUCCCAACAUUGGUGAUUGAUGAAACUUUUUUUUCCUUGGCCAAUGACACCGAACCACAUUUAUGCUUGAAUAAUCUAUUAAAAAAAUUGGAAAUGCAAGAAAAUAUAAAUAAAAAAAAUGUGACAUUAAAUUAAAUAAAACGGCAUUUAGAAAUAUUUUACCUCGUCGCCAAGAUUUUGACCGCUUCGAAUGUUCUCCCUCGCUUUUGUUAACUCAUCUCUCCAUUUUCCUAACUCUUUGUUCAAAAUUUUCCACCUACUAGCUAAGGCCAUUUUCGUAUGAGCCGAACCCGAUCUUUCACAAAAUUCUCCAUUAAUUUUUCUCCACAUAUUAGAGGACUUCAUCUCAUUGCCCCUGAUCGGGCAAUGACCAACUACGACCCAACACUCACACAACAAAAUAUCUUCCACGGUUGUCCACGUGCCUCCGGCUUCGAUGGAAGAGGCCAUUUAUAUUUUUACACAAAUGGAAUGUAGUAGUAGAAAAUUUUGUGUGGAAAGUGAAAAAUAUUGGAAGGAUGAAUUUGUAUGAAGAUUUGGUGUUGAAAGUGAAUAAUAUUGGUAGGUAUUUAUAGAAAAAGAAAUUUUUUUGAUUUUUUUUUUUACAAAUUUUUACAAAUUUUUUCAAUUUUUGGUAGCUAAAAAAUGAACAUCCGUUGGAUUUGAUAAAUUUUUUGGAUUGGAGGCUCCAAGAGAAGCCAGUGGCUUGUAGCUGCAGGUCAGCAAUGACGUCAGCAGCUCGAAGGCAAGAAGACUGGCUAGAUCUCCCUGUGGACUUGUCAGGGCUCAUGGAUCCUACGUUUUGCCCGAGCUAGAUCUUGCACGCUAGAGUCUCCUUCUGGGUCUAGGGCCCCUUCUUGCCUGGGCUAGCCCCUGGCGGUGGACUUGCUCUUAGGGAAGAUCCUACAUUUGAUUAAGUGUAGGGAAGAUCCUACACUCAACCACAUUUAUCAAUUUAUUUAUUUUAUUUUUAAAAUAUGUAAUGGUAAAAUUACUAAAAGAUGCAUGUCACGCCAUCAAAGUGAGAUUCCAAAUACUAUUCUAUAAUUUCUCAGAUAAUGUGAGACAAAAAAUAAAAAUACAAAAGACAAAGUGAGCUAGUUGAAAGUCUAAAAAAAAAGGGAAAUUUGAAUGAAAAUAUUUAGAGGAAAAUAACAAUUAAGCUUUUUACUAAAGGAAAUGUGUCUUCUUCUUCCUCUUUAUUUUUUAUUUUAUUUAUUUUAGAAACAAAAAUCCAUAUAACAAGGGCAAAGUACAAGUAUUUGACAAGAGGAAUACACCUCUUAAGUUGGUUCUUACAUACAAUAGAGGUAUGAAAUAGAAACAGCAAGACAUUGAGAAAAUUAAUUACAUAAAUUUUGAGUUCAGCUCACUUAGAGUUGAAAGAGAAAGGAUCCAAAUUGCAGCAUUAGUGCUCCGUAGAAACCAUGGUAGAAAAUCAAGAGCUAGGAACAAGAGACACCUACAAGUGAAAGGGCUUUACUAGGGGUGUAUAUCGGUUCGAAACAAAUACAAUUUCGCCAAGCCGCAUCCAAUCCAAUAUAGAUUGGAUUAUGAUUUUUCCAAUCCAAUCCAAUCACAUUAAAGGUUUAAAUUCAAUCUAAUGUGAUCCAAUUGAUACAGGAUAGGGUGAUCAGUUUUCAUAAUGCAAAAAGAUAAUAAUGAAAUGUGAAACAUUUAUCGUCAAGUUUAAUAUAAUCAAACAUUUUAAUAGACAUAAAUGUAAAAUAUAAAUGAAAGGUAUUUUAUCGAAUUGCCCUCUGAACUUGUAUCUAAUUAUGAAUUUACCCCCUGACCUAUUUUUUUAGAAAAUUGAGGACUCGAACUAACUUUUAUUCUCAAAGUUACCAUUGUCGUCUAAAUCGUCAACAUUUCAUCUAAUUUGCCAUUAAAUAUAAGGACAAAUUGGUUAUUUCAAAUGUUAAAAAUAAUUAAAUACUUUACAAUAAAAUAAUAUGACCUAAAAAAUGAAGAAAAACAAAUUAUUUUAUAAACAGAGGGGUGAGACCCACCCACCCCCUCCACCUCCGCCUCUCCCUUCUGCUCUCUCUCUCUCUCUCUCUCUCUCUCUCUCUCUCUCUCUGUGCGCGACCCAAGACCCAUUUGUGCCUCCCCAGCCAUAUCCACCCCUGUUAUCUCUUCGCACCUACCAACUCUGUGACCCUACAACCCUACAACCCAUUGGUGCAAUUUUCAUGGGUCUGUGAGAGAGAGAGUGAGAGAGAAGGGUUUGGGGAAGGGGCUCUAGGUUUCAAACAACCCAGAUUUGAAGUGGGGCGUGGAGGUUAGUUGGAGAUCAAGAGAGAAGGUGGCGAUGGUGGACAUUGGGUUGUGAUGUUGGUAGAGUUCGAAUCUAUGGCGGGGAAUGGGCUUGUCACUGCCUGCUCGGAUUUCAAUCGAGGAUUUGGGUAGAGAUAGAAGGUUUGACAAAAAAAAUUGAACAUGUUUCUAGAGAGAGAGCAUUGGAAUGGCUGAGUUGGGGAUGGGGAAUUAUUAUUCAGGGUCGAUGAGAUGAGAGGUUGGCUAUGCUGAUUAGGUGUGUAGAGUAAAAAAAUUUAGGGAGUAGAUAGAGAUAGUGUGAUGGUUGUGGGAGGGUAGGCUGCUGAUAGGGGAGGCGGCGGUGGGUAAGGGGGUGGUCUUGGGUCUGGGGUUGGGUUGCCAAAGGGGAUUCGGCGACAAUGGAGAUAUGGAUGGUCUUGGGUCUUGGGGUGGGUUUCGAAAGGGGAGACGACUACGGGUGAGGGGAGAUUUUUUUUCUCUCUCUCUCUUUCUCUCUCUCUCUCUCUCUCUCUCCUUUAAUUCUUUCCAAUGAUUUAACAUGAAAUUGAAUGAAAUGUUCCGAAUUUGGAUGACAUGAGGGAAUUUGGCUACAAGUUCAGGGGGUAAUUUGGCUAAAUACCCUAACUGAAAUGCUAGAUAAAAUAAUUUUAUUUUAUAAUAUAUUAAACAUAACUCCAUCAAAUUACUUAAAAUGUUCAUAACGUUCUUAACGAAAAUUACCUAAUUAGCAAAAUAAGCAUGAAACUAUCUAGAUUGGAUUGGAUUGGAUCCUCACAAGCAAAUAUGUCAUCUGAUCCAAUCAUGUCGGUUUUGAAAAUUAGGGAUCCAAUCUAAUCCACCAAAUCAUCGAACCAUAUUAAAAUUGGAUUGGAUCAGUCAAUUUGGGCGGAUUGGAUCUUGCACACCCCUAGGAUUUACCGCUAACAUCCACCCAGCCAUUAGAGCUGUCAAUGGAGCAAAUUUUUACCCGAAUCCGAUGAAAUUAAUAGGAAAUGGAUCUGAAGAUAUAAUAUGAUUAUGUUCCGAACCGGUUAACCUGUUAACUUGUUAAGUUAAUGGAAUGAAUAUGGAUUUGGCCUAAUCCAAUCCAAUAAUAAUCCAAUCUGAUUAAUAUAAUAUAUAUUUUUACUCAACAUAUAUACACUAAUAAUUAUUUUACUAUUUAUUUUUAUUUUCUUAAUUGAAAGGGCUGGAAAGCCCAAUAAGAGGACAAAUUAAUCCACAAGACACAAACGAGAAUGGACACAUGUGGGCAAUAUUUAUAAAAACAAAAAAAAAACAAAAGUGAGGUUCACUAAAAAAAAUUAAGACAACACACGGCUCCCUCUAGGGGUGUUUUCGGUUCAGUAACCGCAUCGAAACAAUGGAACCGACAACCGACCGAAAGGCCGCAGUAUGGCUAAAAUGCGAACCACCACCACACCGCCGUCAGCCGAUUACCGGUUAUUUCAGUUGUAGUUGUUUGGUGACAAUCGGUUGUUGUUUAACCGCAGUUUCACAAAGAGAGAGAGAGAGAGAGAGAGAGAGAGAGAGAGAGAGAGAGAGAGAGAGAGAGAGAGAGAGAGAGAGAGAGAGAGAGAGAAAGAGAGAGAGAGGUUGAAAGAGUAGAAGUUAGAGACAAAGUGUUAGGGUUCUCUUUCAACCUUAAACACCCCCCCCCCCCCCCCCCACAAAAACCCUUUACCCCCAUCUCCUCCAUUGCCUCUAUCACCGCCAGCUUGUCGCAGCCAGCCUAGUGCCGUUUCCACCACCUACUCUGUCGUCACUAUAUUAUUUUGAAAUUUCACAAUACAAGUUAGUUCUAAAACCCUAAGCCUAAAAUAAUGUUAUGUACGUUGUAUUUAAUUGAAUUGAAAAUGAAUUUAUGGGUUGAUUAUAUUGUUUUGAUUUAUUAGAUGAUUUAUUUUUUUGAUUUGUUGAUUAAUUGGUUAUAUUAGGUUGGUUUAUGAAAUUUUUUUGUGGUUAAUUCUUAAUUGGUAUAGAUAUAGUGUGUUCUAUAAUUUAUGUGAGUUAUUAUUUUGAUUAAUUUAUGUGUAGAAUUAUGGAACAAUUUUUUAAGAGAAAAUCAUCAUUUUCAUCGGUUAGUUCGGGGAAUGUGGGUAGUUCAAGAACUUCAAGUUCAAGACAAAGAGGGUUAGAUAAGGUUUUCUGGCUAAUCUUUAGGCAGACCUCGGACUAAGAAACCGUAUGAUUGAUUAUGAUACUAAUAUUAGAGAUGAGGUCCGAAGAGCAUAUCUACAAAAAGGACAUUUUCAACCAAGAGGUCAUGCCUUCCCAUAAACUAAUCAAGAAUUAAUCAAUGCUUCAUUCCCUAAUGGUUUGAUGAAUUUGAUUGACUAGAGUAUGGUGUAUCUAAAGAUGCUGCAUUUUGUCUUUAUUGCUAUCUCUUUAAAUCCAAUUUUGAACAAGUGGGUAGUGAAGCCUUCACUAGAGUAGGAUUUAAGAAUUGGAAAAAAAGGGAGAGAAAGAAUGAAGGUGCAUAUUGGACAGGUUGACAGUUUUCAUAAUAAAGCUAGAGAAGCUGCUACAAAUUUGAUGAAUCAAAAUACACAUAUUGAAAUGGCUGUGAGCAAACACUCCAAACAAGCUCGUAUGGCUUAUCCAGCAUGCUCAAUUGCAUCAAUCAAAUGCAUUAAGUUUUUGUUGCGACAAUAUCUUUCUUUUUGUGGCAAUGAUGAAAGUAUCACUUCAAGCAAUAGGGAAAAUUACUUGGAGCUAUUGCAAUUCCUUUCAGACAAUUAUGAGAAAGUUAAAGAAGUUGUGUUGGAAAAUGCUCUGGGGAAUCUCAAGUUAGUAGCUCCUUGCAUUCAAAAAGAUAUUGUCAAUUCAUGUGCCCUUGAAACACUUGAAGUUAUCAUGAGUGGUUUAAAUGAUAGAUUCUUUUCUAUAUUGGUGGAUGAAGUACGUGAUGUUUCAGUAAAAGAGCAAAUGGCUCCAGUGUUGCAUUAUGUGGACGACAAAGGGCAUGUAAUUGAAAGAUUUUUGGGGGACCAACAUGUUAUCGACACCAUUUCAAGUUCACUAAAGGAUGCCAUUGACACAUUCUUUUCUACCAAUAGUUUGAGCCUUUCCAAGUUACAGGGACAAGGUUGUGAUGGGGCUAAGCAAUAUGAGAGGUGAGUUGGAUGACCUUAAAACAUAGAUUUUGAGAGAACAACCUUGUGCAUAUUAUAUUUAUUGCUUUGAUCAUCAACUUCAACUAGCAGUUGUUGCCAUGACAAAGAAAAAUAUUGACAUUGCCUUUUUUUCACGACGGCUAAUAAUGUGGUCAACCAUGUUAGAGCAUCUUGUAAGCGGGCGUGAAGCACUUAGAGUGCAACUCUAAGAAGAGCUUGUGAUAGCUUUUGAAAAUGAUUGUUCUAUAACUGGGCGAGAUUUGCAUCAAGAAACAAGUCUUAAACGUGCCAGUGACAUACGAUGGAACUCACAUUAUGGUACCUUGAUUAGCAUGAUUUCUAUAUUUUUAUCCGUGAUUCAUGUGCUUCAAAUGAUUAUUGAUGAUAAUCUCAAUGAUAGUGACGGUGAAGAAAAUAAGUUAAUGAGAGAAAUGCUUACUUUUGAGUUUGUGUUUUACCUAUUCUUGAUGAAAGCAAUAUUGGGACUCACAAAUGAUGUGUCACAAGCAUUACAAAAAAAAGAUCAAGAAAUUGUGAAUGCAAUGGCUUUAGUGAAAUCAUGCAAGGAAAAGCUAUAUUGGAUAAGGAAUAAUGGGUUGAUGAGGUAUCUUCCGUUUGUAACAAACAUCAUAUUGUUAUUCCUAACAUGGAUGAGGAAUUCGUACUUCCACCAUGCCCUAACAUGGAUGUGGAUCUUUUUAUUUAUGUCAUUAAUGAGCAAAUUACGAGGUUAGAUAAUCGUUUUAAUGAGGUAAAUACUGAGUUGCUUGUUUGUUUAGCAUGUUUCAAGUCCGAAUGAUUUAUUUGUAGCUUUUGAUAAACAAAAGUUACUUCGCCUAGCUCAAUUUUAUCAUCAAGACUUUUUGGAAAGGGAUUUUUUGGCACUUGAAGAUCAACUUGAGCUUUAUAUUCAUCAUGUGCGUUUGAGUAGUGAUUUCUCUCAAUUACAAGGGAUUGGUGGCCUUAUGAAACAAAUGAUGGAGACAGGAUGCAUCGAUCAUUCAAUUAUGUGGAUUUGCUUAUUACGUUGGCUUUAGUUUUACCGGUUGCAACUGCUUUAGUCGAGAGGGCAUUUUCCGUCAUGAAUAUUAUAAAAGGUCCACUUCGGAACAAAAUGGGGGAUCAAUAAUUGAGUAAUAGCUUGCUUGUUUACAUUGAGAGGGAUCUUUUUGCUUAUAUUGAAAAUGAAGCUAUAAUGCUUCGUUUUCAAAAUAUAAAACCACGUCGUGGACAAUUGUAGCUUGUAAUGAUGUUUUUGACAUGAAUUAUGAAUGAAAGUACUAUUGUUUCAUUUCGAUGUUUUUUUUUGUGUGGAACUUUUACACUAUGAUCCUAUGAGGUAAGAUUCCUGGAUCUGUCAUUGGGAGUAGGUUUCAAACCCAAAACCUCCAACUUAGCAUGACAAGACCAAAACACUACUAUGUCAAACUAAGUUGUGAUAUUGGUCGAUCGAAAAUAUAUUUAACGGCUUAUAAGCCCAAAAAUAUAUAUAUAAAAAUCGGGUUAUAACUUAUAACUCAUAUCAGACCAAAAAAAAAAAAAAAAAAACUCAUAACUCAUAACCCUAAUUAUUAUUAUUCUUCUUCAUCAUCAAACCCCACCGCGGUUUCUUCUUCUUCUUCUUCUUCUCUCUUUCUCUCUCUCUCUCUCUCUCUCUCUCUCUCUCUCUCUCUCUCUGUAUUGUACAAAUAGCAACCUAAAAAUUAAGCAACUAUAUGCACAUUUUAACUCACAAGUGCACAAGAUCAGAUAAAUAGUAUAGAUAGCAAAUACGAGAUCAUGCCCAUGAGGAUGGGAUUAAUAUGUGUUUAAAAUUAAUUUCCCAGAACUACUAACUAAAUGGCACAAACUAAGAAUGCAAAAGUGAAAUAAAAUCCUAAAACACUUAUUACAAAACCCUAAGAUUUCUAAUCAAAGUUAAGGUGCAAUACACAAAGGCACUCUGUGUAGACAAGGUGUUCAAAAGGAUGAUUUUAAGAUGAUUUUGAAAACUGAAAAUUUCGAAACAAAAUAUUAAGAACAGCGCUUGAUUAAACAUAGAAUUGGAUUGAGGUCAAAACAAUGAGAAAACCAGUUAGGGAUUCGAUGUUCACCGCUAAUCUUCUUCCUUAAGCAAAUGACAUGCACAAUGCUACAAAACAGAUUUUAGAUGCUCAUGUUUGUCAACCUAAAGGCAUGAUAUCUCCUCUUUAAAUUAUUUAUUUUCCUAAGCAACAAGUUAGGCAUGGGUAUCUACGCUAACUCUUUUCAUUCUUAAAGUGUUUAGCAUGGUAUUUACUAAGUUGCACUUUAAGAACGCAUAACACAAUGGAAAUCGACAAACACACAACUCCUAGAACAUAGUAUCUAUUCUAGUUAUUCAUGAUGAUUAUUUUCAAGAACUUAUAACUAGUUCUUUUAUUACUCUCUCACAGGCACAAGACUCGGUCAUCUAAUUUACCUAUGUAACAAACUCAAUACACAACAUGCAUAUGGUGAUCAAGCAUAACAUAACGUAUGUAAAGAGUAAAAUAUAAUAUGAAAUUAAUCAAUUAAGCAUCACAAAAGUAGUUUAUGGCAAAGGCAUAUCAAAAUCCUUAAAGAAACAUGAUUAGGGCUUCAAUUGAGCCUUAACAAAAGUACUUACUACCAUAAUUUAAAUAGACAGCAAGAACAUACAAAACAAAAAAUAAAAAGAGGAAGAAGAUAGCUCUUUGAUGAUGUGUUGGACAGCCAGAGUUAUUGGAUGACACCUUGACAUUCCACCUUACUUCCUAAGCCUUUCAAACCUUGGAACCUUGAAGGAUGCAGGAGAAUGCGAUGGUGUGGCUGCCCUCUUCUUCUCCUUUUUCUUUUUUCUAUUUUUACUACUCAAAAAUCAGCUCCCCUCUCGAACAGCAGUCGCCCUUCCUUUUCUUUUCUUUUUUUUUUCUCAAAAAAGGUUUUGCUCAUUGUAUUCUCCACAUUUUUGCAACCCUACAUAUUUUUUUAUUCAGACAUAUAAACCCUGGGAAAUAGGAAUAUUCCUCAUUGGCCCAAUUGAUGUGAUUUGGGCCUCAAAACUUGGACUUCAUAAAAGAUUGCAGAUUCCCACGCAGCCCGAACUACUUGAACUUGGACUUCAUGACAGGACCCGACCCAAAUUCACUUUGGAAUCUGAGCCGAACCCUAUGCGUGUUCGACACCUAGCAGGUGCCGAUCACACUUGAUGAAAUUGCCCUUCUAACUAAAAUUUUAAAAAAUUCCAUAGGGUUUGACUUCUGCCGAAAAUUCAGCAAUGUCUCCCCUGUAAAUUGCUCGUUCCCAAACCUUUUCACCUGUAUAACAAGCAAUUUAAAUAUCCACAACCGUUCAGCAUGCACAAUAACAGAAUUCAUUUAACCAAUCCUCAAAUCUUUAUGGCCUUAGGCCUCUUUAAAUCAAAUAAAUCGUUCUGCCAACUGAAACUGAUCCUAACUUUUGGAACAACAUGAAUACGUUAACAUAUUUUAAAAUAACUUAACUAAACAGCUUUUCAAUCACUUGGUCUCGCGGCUGCACCUAUUAACUCUAGGUUGCCUACGUACCCUUAACUAGGGAUCAAGCCACACGUAGUUCUUUCUCUUUGUUUUAUUGACAAGUUAUGUAUUCAACUUUUAUGUUUACCACCUGUAUUGCAAAAUCAAAUAUGAAAAGAAAUUAAAAAGGAAAAUAAAAUAAUGAGAGGAGAAUAACUUUUAAAUUGGAAAAGAAACACAAGGAGAACAAAACGGUAUAUAAAAUCAAAUAACGACAUGGUAAAAUAAAACUUCACUUAAGAAAAUAAUCGUGAAUUAUACAAAAUUCUUAAAACUUAGAACACUCUUAAUCAUUGUCCCUUAAGUAGGAAAACAUAUAUUAAAACCUUCACCCAUAAAUACCAAGAUAAAAUCCUCAAUUUCUAGUUUAAAACAUCUCAAAACUUAAAAACUCUCCAUCUAGGCGUACCCCCAUUCGUAAUCCGUCAAUUUUAGUAAUGUACCGUCAAUUCCAUGAAUUUCUAUUUAUUUUUCACAUUAUACCGUCAAUUCCUUGUGUCUCAUAAUGUGACACAUUCUUGUAGGCCUCGGUAACACAAAAUCAACCCAAACCGCACUCCUCACAGAACUCGGGGGACAUGUAGUCAGCCCAAGAACGCACAUCCUCACUCCACAUGGUUCAAGCGUCCCCGAAACUCGUGGGGCAUUGUCAUAAAAUGCAAACUAUUUCAAAGGCAACUAGGGGGCCACUCCCGUGGUGGGUUUGAAAACCAUAUUCCAAAACUUAUCAUAAAGUUUUCCAAAAUCAGUUCUCAACUACAUUUAAAAUAUGUACCACAUUCUGUUAAGAACUAGUGUCCAUGAUUCAUUAUUUUGAAGCCACAGAGUAAGUAUAUAUAUACAGUCCUGAUCUCUUGGACUACAGGGUCCAAGAGAUUUAUGGUCACUCACUGUUGGAUGUAAAUUCAACGGUUCACUCACUCUUGCACUCCUUUUAAAAAACUUUUUUGAACCAUUGGAUUAAUAUCCAACGGUGGGUGACCACAAUCUUUUGGACUCCUGUGGUCCAAGAGAUCGGCACUGUAUAUAUAUAUAUAUAUAUAUUUUCAACAUAUAAUAAGAUAUUUAAUUAACAUCUCGUCCACACCAAAAUUCAGUUAAUAAGCAGUUCCCAAUUUUACCCAUCCAAACAUAGUAUAAUACCCUUACAAAGUAAAAGUGGUUACCUAAUAAAUCAUAAAUAUUUGAAUAAUCCAAUAUCACCCAAUCAUAUACUUUAAUAAUACUCAUCAUAAUAAUAACUAAAUAAAUGACAAGAUAAUCUUCAAAUAUCAUAAUAACACCCAAGAAUAUCAUAAAACACUAUAACAUAAACUCAUAAUCCAAACAUAGUCAAAAUAGUCCACAAACUGUCAAACCUCGUUUACAUGGUCGUCUAGCACUUCCCGAGGGCGAAACUACCUCAGAAGACCUACAGUCAACUGAGGGUCAAACUUUCUAAAUUGGAUCAACGGGGCACGCGGGGCCCACGACCUCCGAUUUCUAAUUCGGAUCGCUCUCUAUCGCAUGGUCAGACGGUUACCGUUUUCCUAAACUUUGAAUUGUUGAAUCGGAGUAUACGGGACUCUGAUUCUCGAUCCGCGAAUUCUUACACGAUCGUAAAGGUGCCUAAAUUAACAUAUUUGAAAAUGAAGUUGAUCCAACGGUCCGAACAUAUCGAACCUGGAUAACGCCUAAUAUACGAUAUCCGAUCGACAGUCAAAUGGUAACCAAAUUGAAAUCCGAGCAUACCAUCGUGCUCGGGACUACGCGGGAUCAUUCUAGGAUAAAAAUUCAAUCUUGACACCCGGCCAACACGUUGUCACUGUCAGUGGUGUCUAGAGCAAUUUUUCGGCGAUCGGAAAACUCCAAAUUGUCGGCCAAUAAUCAUACUUACAUAUCAAGCACAUCAAUGGGAGUAACUUUAUACCUUGGCUCGAAGAUCAAUUCCACCGUUAAAGUCCUCAAACAAACGAUUUUUUCUCUUGAAAAACCUAGAAAAUUCUUAGUUUGAAUUCGUCAAUUCUACUUGAAAUUGGGUCGGGUCUUCGAGGGAAAUUACAAAGGGAAGGUAGAGGAGUGUUUUGGGUGGGAUUGCAUGGCUUUGGGUGGCCGGAGUUGGUUGGAAAACUCGUCGGAUUUCUUGUUUCGAAACAGCUCAUUUUGGGCUUGAUUUUGGCUCGGUUUUGGGCCGAAUUUCUGGUUUAAUUGCCUGGAAUCAAGGCUAGAUAUAGGUAUGUAUGGAAAUAGGAGAGAGAGAUGAAGAGUUUGCACAUGAAAAUAGGAGAGAGAUAUAGGUAUGAAGUUGGGUGCUCCAAGAGGACGCGAGAGAGAAGAAGAAAUCUGGAUUUUUUAAAAACUGAACUUCAAAAAAUUUACGAUUGUACCACUAGACUUCUUUUGAUCGUAACUUAUUCGUUAUAACUUCGAUUUGAGCCCACUACGUGUCUACGGACUCAUCUCGACGUGCUCUAUGCAACAGUACUUAUAAUCCCCAAAUUCCUUCCCAAACAAAAAGUCAACUUUUAAACCAUUAAAAUAUUCUCGGGGUAAAAAUGUAUUUUAUGUGAAUAAAUUAAUAAUUAAAUAUUAAUUUAGGCUUGGGUUAUUACACUUAAAAAAGGAUUGCAGAUUUCCGCGCAGUCCGAACUACCUGUACUAAAACCACCAUAACUUCCUCUAGAAAAAUGAUAUUCAUGAACCGUAAAAUUUCCCAGAAAAUAGACAUCCAUAGCUUUCCAAACAUAUAUGGUUCAGCUUCUGGUUCUUAGUGAGUCAAUACAGUAUAAUCCAUGAACUUGACUGAUCUGCACAGGCGUUUCAAACUCAACUUUCUAUUUUUAGCUUAUUUUCCACCAUUUGCUUGUGAUUACCUAAAAAAGUAAUAAAAGAAUGUAAAACCUAUAUAAAAGAGUAAAAUAAUGGUGUAAACAUGGAGAAAUAUCAUAGAUAAAUGUCGAAUUUAUGAGCACAUCACUCUCUCUCUCUCUCUCUCUCUCUCUCUCUCUCCUCUGGCUACAUAAAUAAUAGAUCUCAAUCGGUUGCGGUAGGCAACGGAAUUGGUAUCUGAGUACUAUAACCGAUACCAUCACUGGUUGGUCCGUUGUCUAACCGCAAUUACAUUGACUUUUUGGCUAACCACAGUUUGUCGACAGAAAAAAUUGGUUGGUAACUGGCGGUUUGCAGUGCAACUGCACAGCCCUAGCUCCUUCCCUUACUCUUUAUUUUAUUUAUUUUAGUUUCAUUUUUUUCAUUAGCAAGGGCAGAUGCACGUUGGAAAGAGAGGGUCGCACGACCCCUUGGAAUGUUGGAAAUAUCGAUGAAGGCUUCAUGAGUGACACUUUGGACAGCAGCGAAGCAACCCCUUGUGUGCACACAAGGUGUUCGAUGAAAGUCCCCUGCGGGGCUUGACUUGCACUGCAUGCGCGAGUCUAAUAUUUUUUUUAAAAGCCUAAACGAUGUCGUUUGAUCCUAUCACGGCCCGAUUCAAAAAUAAGGAAUUUUCCCGAAUCAUGGUGUGAGUCAUACCGUAGUCAUAAUAAUAAAAUCCUACAACCAUGAUAUGAUGAGAAAAAGAGCCACAAAUAAUACAAAUUUACUUAACAACACAAAAUUAGAGUUGCAGUUGCUCGUAGUUAAAUACACACUAAGAUCUUUAUCAAACGGUUGACUACUUACAAACAUUGAUUACACAAAUCAACAACAAAAGCCUAGCAGCUUAGUUGAAACCCGCUUCCUCAAACUUCGCCUUAAAUUUUGCACAAUCUAUUAGGGUAUAAGCAUUCUAAUGUCCAGUAGAAUACCGUCAAACCCCUCAAGGUUAGCUAUUACAAUUAAUCAAAGUAUCAUGCAUCAAACAACACAAGAUACAUAAUAUAUGCAACCAGACCAGAUAAGUAAAUUUGCAUAUACGGUGAUGCCAUAAACUCACUCCCUUCUAAUCCCACUAAUUCAUACCUUAAGGCAACAAGCAUGUUUGUCCCGUACAUGCGUUUUACCACUGUGGCUCCGAAUACCCUAAACCUAGCCCAUCUGUUCCUUAACCCAUUUUUCUUUUGUUUACGAAUUUCUCAACUUUCACUUUUCAUUAGAGGCUCUGCUCUCAUCAUCUCAAUAUAUUCAAGCCUUAUUCCCGUCACUUGAAUAUAUUCCACAUUUUUACUCAUAUAUAUCUAAGGCAUUCUCCCACCCCUUAGAUUUACCUUAAACGACACACACACCCCAAAUACUACUGUAUUUAUGAUGCAUAUGUAAUGCAGGGAAAACAUCAUUUAUCUAUGCAGAAUAAUAAUACAAAUAAUAACAAUAAUAUUUCAGGCUUAAUCAUAUGAAUAAUAAUAUUCACUCAACGUCAAAAAUAAUAUCCAUGGAGAAACAUCAAUAAUAAUAUUCACAAACAUCAAAUAAUAUUCACCGAGUAAAGCAACAAUAAUAUAAAUAUUUAUAGUACCAUAUAUAAGCACCAAGAUUAAAAGUGACAUAGCCGAAUCAUCGAGAAAUCAGAAAACCUUACCUCACGUCCGACUAGUUAGAUUACCGAAUUAUCCUUCCAAUUCUUCUAUUUCCACUCGAGCCUCAAUCGAACAAUAAGGACAAAUAAUAAUUAGUACUUUUGCUUAACAUAAUUUUUGGUCAAAUAGUUACAGGUCUCGGAUGGUAUUGAAACCAAUGUUAACGGACUUAAAAGGAAAAACCAAGCUGGGGAGGAUGACAAACGACACCAACAUUGCACCACAUGUGUUGAACACACAUAUGACAACUGCAUGAUACUAUUCAUCGUCUUCCUCGAAAGACCAUUUUUUCCCCUGUUUUCCAUUUUAUUUUUGGCAUAACUAACAAUAGUAAAACUUUGCAAGACUAUACUUAAAUUGAAGCUUGUAACCUUAGCUUUCUAUACAUAUAAAGAUUUGUGAAAAUGGAGCUCAGGUUAGUGAGAAAUUCGAACCCAAAGACAGACCCAAAAAAUCUGAAUUUUCGUUUUCCAGCUUCCUCUAUUUUGGCAAUUUUGAAAACCUAACUUCACUUCAAUAUUUGAUCCCCCAAAACUUAACCAAAAUCAGUGAAAUCAAAAAGGUUUUGUACUUUGCUAUUCCUAGUUUCCAAAACAUCAAAACCUUUCAAAAAUUACUUCACAGAUCAAAGGAACACAAGAGCCAAAGUAAGGUCCAUGAACUGAAAUUUCUAGAAAAAUACUAAGUUUCAGAAUUUUCUCAAAAGUCUCUUUCAACACAUCUCAAAUACCAUCCUUAAGGCUCGAAAUCAUACUCCAACAUCAUAUCCUUGGCCAAAGCUUCCUAAAAACAAGAUUUGGAUCUAAAGUUUGAACAACCAAACCCAAACAUUUAUUAGCACACCCAAAAUCUGAAAAUCUUGAUUUCAAAAUUCUUCUUUUGAUUUUCUUAUGCCUUAAAAGGUUCAUAAAUCAUUCUCCAACUCAAAUACAACUACAAAUCUACUCAAACAAUUAAUUAUACAAAAACUCAAGAAUUGAAAAUGAACUUAGAACAAGAAUCCCACCUUUCAUCCUUCCAAUUGCUUUAACACUUAACCAUUUUCUUUUCUACCUAUCACAUUUCUUUCUUAAUUCUCUCAUGGAUGUAAUAGUAAUAACCUCCAUCUUUUUCUUCUUCUUCUUCUUCUUCUUCUCUCUCUCUCUCUCUCUCUCUCUCUCUCUCGCCAACAACUCACCUUCCUUAGCUGUAGAAAAAAUUCAGCCUCAUUAAGGAAGAUACCUUAGCCUUGGUGAGUCAUAACUUUAGGUUAGGUGACUCACUACUUUAGACUAGAUGACUCACCACUUUAGACUAGAUGACUCACCACUUUAAACUAGGUGACUCAUCCUUUCAUAAUGGUGGACUUGAAAGCUUGAGGCAAGGGGGAAGAAUGGGAGGGUGGGCUGAUGCCCUCCAAGUGACGGCUCUCCACCGGCAUGGACGUNNNNNNNNNNNNNNNNNNNNNNNNNNNNNNNNNNNNNNNNNNNNNNNNNNNNNNNNNNNNNNNNNNNNNNNNNNNNNNNNNNNNNNNNNNNNNNNNNNNNGGGGGCUAUAAGGGGAUUUUGGGAAUUUUGCACUUAGGGGUAUUUUGGUCAUUUUAGCCCAAAACCCAAAAACAAUUUCCUAUGUGUUUGUUAAGUCGACUACUAUCAUACCACCUAAGAAUCAUAAUGGUCUCACCUCAAUUUCUUAAAUAUCCUUUGAAAAAUUCACAAAAUGUUAUAUAAGGACAUUUUUAUCCAACUUGAAUUACACACUUAAUCCAAUAGUCUCAAUCAAAAAUCACUUGAUAAAAUACCCAUAAUCAUUCUUCAUUAUAAUAUUAUUUUUCACUGAAAUACGAAAGUCCACUUUUUUUUUUUUUUCGGGGUAUUACAGAUCCAAGGCUAUUCAAUUUCUUUUAAUUGACCUAGCCUGAAAAGUAUGUCGUUUUGGGCCAAGUUUUAAGAAAAUAAAAAUAUCAUCCCUCCCCGUCCCUGUACCUGACUUCAGUAAAACCCCUUUUCAUUCCCAAAUCAAUAUCUCACCUUUCCAAACCCUAAGAGCCCCAAACCUCCCAACCUUCACCACAACCUCUUCGUUGGCAGCUACCACCACCACCUUGUGCCGCCACUCACAGCCUAAUGUUUCAACAAGUGAGCAAAAUUGAUAUUUAUAAAUAAUGAUAAUAUUAGUUGAUUGAUUUUUUUUUUUUAAAUUUUAUGAAAUGAAAUCUAUAGGUAUGAUAAUAUUGAUUGGUUGAGUUUAUAAUUGAUUGAUAAUCAUAUUAUUGAUAAUGUUUUGUUUUGAUUGGUAUGAUAAUAUUGACAUUUUCAUAGUUAUAUGAUAAUUUGGAUAAAAAAUCAUUGAUAGAUUGCAUUAAUUGAUGUGUAGAAUUAUGGAACGAUUCUUUAAAAGAAAAUUAUUUGUGGAUAGUCCUUCUCUGUCUAGCUAAUUUAGGUAGUUCAAGUGCAAGACCGAUUUAGAUAGAUAAGUUAUUGGCUAAUGUUCAGAUAGACCCUGGACUAAGAACUCGAAUGACGGAUUAUAGUCCUAAUAUUCAAAUGGACAAUUGUAACUUGUAUUGUUGGUUUUGUCAUGAAUUAUAAAUAGAAAUACUAUCUUUCUAUCUUUUUUAGUGUUAUUUUCUUCAUAGAUAAAUUUUGAAACUUUUACACUAUGACCCCUUGGCCCGAAAAUCCUAGAUCCACCACUGAAUGUAGCCCAUGUUUCUCAAUCUACUCUCUCCUCGAUUACUCAUCAUCGUCUUCCCCUCUCCUUCUCUCAGACCUCAUCUUUUUAUUUUUAUUUUGGGUAAGGCAGACCACAUCUUCUUCCUCUCUCAUUCACUCAAAUACUCUUUCUUUCUUUUUUCUUCUUAUUCUUCUUCUCACCUUUUCCUAUCUUCUAUCUCUUCUCUGUCUCAUUCUUCUCUCUCAUCUCUCCUAUAUCCUCUAUAUAGUUGUUGUUUUCAUUUUUUUAAGGAUAUGAUUUUGGUUCUCCAACACAAGAAAUGCAAGAGGAAGAUGAUAUAUAUUUUGUGUUAGUUUUGUUAAUUUAUGAGAUAAAAGAAUUCAAAUUAGAUUAUUGAAUCCAAUAUUCGAUAAUCCAAGAAUUUGGAUGUGAAUAAAAAAACUAUUCUAACAUGGAUCCAAUUCUGAAGGAUUCGUCAGAUUAUUGGAUCAGAUUGGGUUUAUUUAUUUUUUUUGAGAAUUAAAUCAAGUAUAAGUUUUUUCCGUUCCAUAUCCGACCCGGUGACAACUCUACCGGCCAUAAAAGCUAAAGUAUCUCUAGAAGAAACCUACAUGAUCUCAUAGCACCAAAAAAGUUAAAACAAAGGCGUCUGCGUCUUGUGUGGGACAUUUGUUUUUUGUUUUUGGGUCGGAGUGAGGAACAUUUGUUUAUGUAGAAAAAUAAAACCUCCCACAGACAAAAAAGUAGGCCUCAUCAUUUGGCAUGCGGGUUCAUGGGCCGAUGGGGGCCCGCCCGGCCCAUCGACAAAAAGCCCGGCAUGUCUUGGGCCGUGCUAGGCUUGGGCUUGGGUGUCUGAAGCCCGACCCGACCCAUAGGCUCGGCCCGAUUAAGCCCAAGAAAGCCCGACCCGGCCUGCCCACAAAAGCCCGGUCCAUUAGGCCCGCAUACAUAUAUAAUUAUGUAUAAAUAAGAAUUUAGGUUUAGGAUUAUAUCACUUAAAUCAUAUAUAUAAUUUGUUUCAUUUCAUUUACUUUUCUUUACUCAUUCCUAGUUUAUAAUUGGAUGAUUGGCACAUUAAUUUGUGUCAAUUAUUAAUUCAACAAUUAUAUAUAUACAUAUAUACAGUCCCGAUCUCUUGGACCACAGGAGUCCAAGAGAUUUGUGGUCACUCACAGUUGGAUGUAAAUUCAACGGUUCACUCAAUCUUGAACUUCUUUUAAGAAACUUUUUUGAACCAUUAGAUUAAUAUCCAACGGUGAGUGACCACAAUCUCUUGGACUCCUAUGGUUCAAGAGAUCAGGACUGUACAUAUAUAUAUAUAUAUAUAUAUAUAAGAUGAACAACAUAUCACAUCACCAAAUAUAAUCAUAUCACGAAACAUAAUCGUACCACCAAAUAUAAUCAUGCUUUUCUUGAACACAUCACCAUAUAUUUGCAUAUUUAUUCAUACAAAUAUUUGCAUAUUUAUUCAUACCAUCCUUUAAAAAAAUAUUUUUUUAAUAGUUAUUAUUUUUUUAAAUUAUUUCUUAAAACGUAUUACGAUCUAAUUAUGUAAUAACCUCAAAAAUAAUACUUGAUUUAUUAUUUUUGUGAAAAAUCUUAUAAGUUGUGUGAUUUUAUUUGGUGUGUUAUGAAUUUGGUUUGAAGUGAAAAUAUUGGAAUUAAGUGAGUUUAAUCUCAAAUUUGGACUAAAAUGUCUUUAUGAUUAAGUUUAUGAUUUUUUUUUAAUGAAGUAGGGCCUGUUUAGGCCCGGCCAGUUGGGCUUAGCCCGAUGGGCUUUCUCAAGCUCAGCUCAUAGGUCGAGCUUGGGCUUUGAAAUUUCUAAAAAAAAAGGUCCGGCCCGGCUCGAUAUUUUCUCUCUCCUCUUUAAAGGCCGAUCUAACCCGACCCAAACUCAUUAAAUUUGAGCCGAACUAACCCGAUCCAGCCCAUUAACAAGCCCUACAAAGAAAGGCACACUUUUCACUGCAGAUAAAUAACAUAAAAUGAAGAAAUGGGACAUUUUUUUAUUCUUCGUCAGGAUGAAAAAGGAGGGUAGCGGAGUUUGAUAAUCACAUGUUUGGAUUUGGAGGGUGAUGCUUCGAAUGUAUAAAAAGCAGCCUCCCCAGACCACGUUGUGUUGCGUGGGGCCCAUCGACACCGAAGCAAACUUAACAUAUUCCGACGAACCCGCACCCAACGCAUGUCCUUUCUUACAGGAGCCCCUCUGUCCCUGUCCUUGCGACCUUGUCCUCUUUCGUGUUGCCCGCCCAACCAAUACAUAUAUUUUUUAUUUUCUAUUUGUCUCUGUACUCUUUAUUUGCCCUUGAAACAAAGUCGUUUUGAUGGAGCAUGACGUAAGAUUGAAAACUAUCCGACGCUUCAGAUUUGACCUGUAGAUUUUCGGCUCCUCAACAACGAGUCCCACGUUUCUGCAUAGCAUGUGAUCCUCACGCUCUGCUCUCGUGUCUGUCUGUGUAUGGUUAGAAAAGAAAAGAAAAAGUUGCCAAACUCUAUUUGGUCCUAGAUUCUGGGGUUUAUAGGAGUUUAGGCUGUUGGUUGGUUGGGUGGUUACUUUGCUUAGAUGUGGGCAUAAAUAUUAUUAGUGAACCAUAAAAACAUACCCAACGAACUGGUGGUCAAACUGAUAAAAAACCAAAUCAAAUCAGACAUACCUAACAUGAUCUGGUUUGGUUCGAUCACCACUGUAUAAUUUGAGAAAAAUAAUUUGGUUUGAACCGUGAAAAAUGAAUGCGUCUAAGAACUUUAAUAGAAAUAAAUUAAUACACAAAUAAAUACAAAGAUUUUCUAAGCGUAGAAAACCUAGAAAUGGGAAAUAAUUGCGGGCACUUUACCGAACAAUGAUCUUAAGUUCGAACUCUCAUAACACCUUAGUAGUGUAUGUGAGACACCUCAUCAUCCCUUUAUAGUUUAGACUAUUGAAUAUAUUUUUAAAAAAAUUGUGUUAACUAUAAACACAACUCAAAGGGAGAACUAAGUUGAAUCCUAUUUGUCAUAACUCAUUAGAAGUCAUUAUCUAUCACCAAUUCAUUGGAAGUCAUUAACAUUUCAGGUCACAAAGCUUAAAGACUCGAUUACAAUAGCCACACAGGCAACCAAUCACUUGAACCCAUAGUCAGACCCAAACAAAGACCCAAUACAAGUUUCAAUGGGAUACAAAAGAUAAUCACGCUACAAUACGCCCCCUGUUAAUGGGAUAAAAAAGAUAAUUAUGGCUAUGGUACUCCCAUAAUCACAGCUCUAAGGGCUUGAAUCUAGCAUCAAACCAAUGUCACAUGGCUUUACUCUGGCGACUUUUCACAAAAAGUUGAAAAAUGCACCAAGACACGGGUUGGAUAAACUAAAAACACACCAACAUAAAUAUCAAAGCAAAAAAAUCUCCCAAAGAGAGACCUAGAAAACAAACUUAAAACCUAAACAAAGACUAAAGCUCUCCUGAAGAGAGACCGUUUAGCAAUCUCACAAAGAAUUGUUGCACUUAUUAUAACUAAAACAACAAACAAAAAUAACGCCCUAUCUCGGAUCAGGCCCACAACAAACCAAGGGAGGAUGGAGAUGAACAAAUUCGCAUAGAUCUAAUAUAGAUCCAUCAAAUCAUUCCCAUCAUAACGUCAUCACCAAGACGACCAAGCAGCCACCAAACUAAGCCAAGACGGAGCGGCUAGAGGGGAUGGGCAAGGAGCAGAAGUGAAGAUGGGAUGGGAAGAUUUGGGAGGGUAAGGAAGGGAAGGAAAGGGGAGGAGGAGAGGGAUGGAGGCCACCGAUCCCCCAAAAGAGAUUGGUGGCUAAAACUUUUAUCUCUUUUAGGGUUUCUAAGAUUUUGCAUGACAUUUACAUAAACAAAAAAUUAUAUUGGUUCACAAUAUAGAAGUAAAUCGAAGGUAAUAAAUUCAUAUCAAACCUACAAACAAAUCGAACCUAUUAAAGAUUAUUUAGAUGAUGAAAAGAUAAUAGGUUUUUUUUAUGUGAAGAUAAGAAAGUUGUUAUUGACACUUCAAAAUAUUCAUCAUCUCUUCAUUAGUGCGCGAUCUGUAAUUUCCUACAUAAAUCCAUACCGGUGGCAGUUGACAAUUGGGUGCUACGCAUAAGUUAUUCUGACUCGAGAUUGUGAGUUUGCCCUAGCGCUAAUGGUGAGAGUAACAGAUCUCCCUCUAACCUUCUUUUCAUAAAAUUUAAAAUAUAAAAAAAAUUCGUCGUCCACUCCUUACUCUAUUAAUAAUUAUAUAUAAAAAAAUUAUAUGAUGACAGUUUACGAAUGCGAAUAUCAAAUUCCCAAAGAUAAAAUAGUGUAAUAUUGUUUUCUACUGUUCACCGUAACGUAGCUUUUUCUUUUUCAUAUGAAGUUUUUGACGAUUAUCAAAUAUUCAAAAGCAUAUCCUGUAAAAUGUUACAUUUGUGGAUGAUUUCCCGUCCCAGAGUCACCGUCCUAGAUGGAUACUGCCAUAGAUCUGAUAAAUAAUAACUCCACAGCUUUCUUGGGCGCGUCAAUUGGUGCGUGCAAGAUUCAGACUUCUGUUAUCUUUCUCAGCUGCAAAUAAAUAAAUAUGUUUAUUUAUUACCCUUUCAUCACCUUUCAUCACCUUCCAUUUCCUUUUCUUUACUCCAACUCCUCUCUCUCUCUCUCUCUCUCUCUGUGACCAAUUUCUCACUGUUUCUUCUUGUUUUCUGCUGCACAAUAGAAUCAAUUUCUGACUUUUUAUUCAUCAACCCAUCUCUCUGUUUCUCAAUCUUCGCUGUUUGAAGUCGUAUAUAUUGAUUAUGCACAAUUUUGGGGAUGAAUUCACAAUAGAAAGCUACAGAAUCCCAUGGCUUGUAUGGAUCCAGGUGAUGGUGAUGAUCCUCCUCCUCAUUCUUCUCUUCUGCUUCAGCAUCUUAGUCUUAGAUCUCGAUGACCACAGCAACACCACCACCACCAGCAACAACAAGCCUUCAUCUUCUUCCACUAGCCGCUUAGUUGCUGAUGAUUUUCCCAAGCACAACACCUCAACCACAGCUUUUACACACCGCUUACAAAAUACCCAGGUACCGAUUUCCUCACACCACUCUGUUUUCUUACUGUUUUACAUGAUUUCUCUCUCCUUUUUGCUUAUUGAUUUCGUUUGUAGCUAGAUGUGGAAUGUGUUUGGCAGCUAGGAAAAUGUGGAAAAGAAUCUAAGAAAGAAAGAAAGAAAGAAAUGAAUAAAUAGUUUCCUGAAUUCCCAAUCCUACUAAUUAUAUUUGUGUUCAUUUUGGUUUUAGUUGUUCUUGUUUCCAUUUUUUUUUUUUUAUACAAGCAAAGCAAUAGUGGGGAGGGGGAUUUCAACCCAUGACCGCUUUUAAUCGCUUGAGUUACAAUUGCUUUUGUUUUAAUUGUUUAAAGCAAAGCUACAAUGACUCGAAAUUUUUUUCCCUUUUUUUCGAUGUCUGGGUCAUCUUUGGAAGGCGGGGAUGGGGGAUUGGUGGGGUUUGGGGUUUAUGGUUGUGGGUUCAGUAGCAUUUCCUUACCCACUUUAAAUUUGUUUGUAGAAGUUCUUGCCCAUUGACCUAAUAUCAAUUGUGCAAUAAUUGCCUAAUUAGGACCCUGCACUUUUUUCUUUACAUAUUUCAUCUAUAACGGAAUUAUUUGCCCAUAAUUUGUCAAAAAUAAAAGGUAAAGAGAACCUCCCUCUAACGUUGUGGAAGAUGUUGAAGAAAAUAAACUCUCACAUCAGAAACUUGACUAAAUAAAUUACAACAUAUAAUGAAUUGGGGUGCCUUUUUUGUUUCUUUUGUUGAACAACUGGAACGCAUGCUUUCCGUCUUCAAGUCUGAGAGAAGUGCUUUUGGUGGAAAUUCCAUUUUGUGCAAAUUGAGUGAUUUUGUGGUAAAACCCUUGUACCAAUUAACAUACUCCAAAGUCCAAAUGUUUUUUUCUUUUUCUGGUAGAACCCUUAGAUUUUCUCAUCUUUAAUUUGAAAUACCCUCGUUGCCCUUGUUUAGAAAAAAAAAAACCACAUUACCUUUUCAUUCUAAAAUUGCUUUAACCUCAUUUGUAUUAUUUUUAUUUUUAUUCUAGGCCAAUAGAAAAUUUCAUAUGACAAUGUUUUGUUCAUUGUUUUUGCUGUCCAGUUAAGCAUGUUUAAUGAUAACACCUGCUGUUGUAAUUAGAAUUAGGCAAUGUAUAAUUAUACGUACACAAAUGUGAGCCUGUAAGAUCUUGGCAGGUAGAAGAAAGCAUAAAAGGGGAGAUAGUAGCAAGCACAACAAGUAGAAUAAUGAGAGGAGAGGACUUGUUAGAAAUGGAGGCCCCUACAGCAUUCCAUCUAUAUUUCCACCCUUGCUAUUAUUUUAGGCUGGCCAGACUUGCAUUUCUUAAAUGUCUGGGCUUGGACUUUGCCUCUGAGAGUUCUUCAACCCCACAAAGAGGAAAAAGAAGAGAAAGUUGACGUGAAUUCUCCUCCCAAGGGUUGCCUAGUUUAGGUUGUAACUUGUAAGGGGUGAAGCAAAGAUCACCAACAAGUACACUCGUAGCAGAAACCAAUUAUGGACUCGUGGGGUGUGAGAAAAUAUUGUAUAGUACUGGAAUACGGCAAGGUGAUAUAAGGUGUAGGAGCUCAUCUCCAAGCCCGGUACUGUUCUGCAGCACCAAUUUAUUGACCACAUUGUAAAAAUACCACAUUGAUUGAGAAUGGUAUUUGAGUGAUUGUAGGAGAUUGUAGGAGAGGACCAUUGAACCAAGGACUCAGACAUUGUUUGAAAAGAAAAUUUAGUUGUAUUUUACCAUAUAAAUCUGCAAUGAAAAUGAUUUUAGUUACGGUAGUAUUAGAGUUUACUUUUGAAUUUGCACUAACAUUAGGUGUACCUAAUUUGGAUCCUAAUUGUGGAACCCAAGAACUAAUCUUUUGAAAUUUACAUGCACUAACAUCAUGCACAUGUUGUAAGAGUUUUCGGGUUCGAUUCAUUAGUAUAUAUGGUCAUGUUGUGUGCUGUUCAUGGGUAGACACAUGAUAUAUGAAUAAGUUAAAUACUAUUUUCCACCUUAAAGAAAAUUGAAGAGAGAUGUCAUCUCAAUUUAUUGAAAUCCAUGGGAGUGGUUGAGGAUGUCUAGUAUGUGGGCCUGAAUCAAACAAAACUCCGAAUUAAAAAAUAAAAGUGAUUGAUGUGAAAUUAGUUGCAUAUGUUGCCCAUUAAUGGAUGGCCUCAUGUUAGGGAGAAUGUUGAAGAAUAUGAAGUUACAUAUCGAAAAAUUAAUAAAAUAUAAUAAAUAGUUCCACUACUAAUAACAUCGAGAUUUUUUGUAUAAAACCUCACAUCGUAUAUGUGGGUUAUUAAGUUGGAAAUAAUAUCAAUGUUACUAAUAGUAAGUCGUGGAUCCAUCCCUCUGAAAUCUUAACAGGCGUAAAGAAUUGUAAUUUCUUUUAUUUCUUCUUUUUUCGAAAGUUUUUUUUUAAAAUUAUUUGAAAACUAUUGCAAUACCUUUACCUAGGGUUUGUCACGGGCCGAGCCAGUCAGAAACUUUUUUGUUCAGGUCGAGUUUUACAUAUUUUUUUAAAAUUUUUCGAGCAAGGCUAUGGGCAGGCCCAGACGGGAAUUGAAGAGGAGAAAUUGAUAUUUCCAUUGUUUGGCAACUUAAACAUGAAAAAUCUUGAAAAUUAGGGAUCAAGAUUCCUUAAUUUAAUUUCCACCAAAAUAUUCAUUAUUUUGCAAUUUCUAUUGAAUAUGAAUUUGUUUUCACUAUCAUUUAUGUCAUUCACAAAAUUUGACAUACAUAAAUUCAAACACUGAAAUUUUUAAUUGACAGAAAUUUAAACGACAGAUAUCUAAGUUUCUCAUUUAAUAAUUCUAUGCAAUUUUCAAUUCCUUCGUCCAAACAGAAGGUUAGAGUUAGGGGUGGGCGCGGUCCGGUUCGGUCCGGUUCUCACCUCAAACCGGAACCGAAACCGGUAUUAUUUAACUGGUUCGGUUAGGUCCGAUUUAGGCAAAAAAAAUUUUGAAAACCGGCCGGUUCGGUUCUAACCGGUUCUGGUCCGGUUCUGACCGGUUUCGGUUUUGAACUGGAUUAUUAAUUUAUUUAAUAAAAAAAUUAUAAUAAAUAACUUAUUUUUUUAGCUUAAAAAUGAACAAAUAAUCCAAUUCAUACAUUUAGAAAUUUUUUGAAAUUAAACUUGGAAAAUUAGUGAUUAUAGAAGUUAAAAAAUGGCAUUAGAUUUUAAAAUUUUGUAAAAAUAUAAAUAUAAAAUAUAUGACCGGUCCGGUUCGGUCCGGUCCGGUGCGGAGAGAUGUAAAACUAGAACCGGAACCGGUUGGAACCGGUUCGGUCCGGUUUCGGUCCGGUUUGUUGACUUUUUUGGUCAACAGGUUUUUUUUCCGGUUUUUUUUCACCGGUUAGGUUCGGUGUUCCGGUUUUCCAGUCCCGAUGCCCACCCCUAGUUAGAGUAGUCAUGUGAUCUCUCUCUCUCUCUCUCUCUCUCUCUCUCUCUCUCUCUCUCUCUCCAACCCUAACUGCCCUUCCCCCAAAACUUUUCUUAGCGUCGCAGCCCCGUUUGAGUUGAGAGAAGGUCAUUAUUCCUCCUCCCCUCUCCUCUAUUUCCUUCUUUGCUUUCUUGCUCCCAUGUCAGCUAAUAUUCUAUCUCUCUCCUAUGUGAGAGUUUUAUUUUGUUGUUUUUGUUUUUUCAUAGUUGUCCACCCUCUAUUUUCCCUCAAUGACAACCCCACUAUUUUAUUUUGUUGUUUUUGUUUUUUCAUGGUUGUCCAUCUUGUUUUCCCUCAGUCACAACCCCACUGUCACAUCCAUGCCUUUGUCCUUCCCCUAGCUAUUGAGUGUUCAACUGACUUCUCCUCCCUUGUGCUUGUGUCUCUCAAGACUAAUGUUUGUGAGAUGGCUUCUUGGUUUUGGGAGUGUGGGAUCUUCUUAGAUCCAUCAUUUGACCAUAUGAGUAUGAUGCGGCUUUUGCUUCUUCCCCAUUCUCAUUCGUCAGUCUCUUCGGGUGUCUUCACAAACUUUUGUUCUAGUGGUCGUGGUGCUUAUCACGGCGGCAGUGAUGGCGGCAACGUUGACGGUGACAACUCAUGGUUAAAGUUAACCUUGUUAGAUAGGGUUCGGGUUUAUAGUGUUGUUGGGCUUUUGUUUGUGGGCUUAAUUUAGUUUAUUUUGUUUUGUUUUAGUUUUAAUGAUGUUGGGCCUGGGAUGUUAUGAUUAUUAUUAUUGGGCCUUUUGUAAUGUUCUGUUUCUUAUUCAUGGAACAUAUCUUGACCAGGGAAAAAAAAAAAAAAGUAGUCAUAUGAUAAAUCAUAAAUUUUGAAAAAUCGAGAUGAUAUUUUUGAAGUUUUUCUUUAAGUUGGCAAAUUGAAAUUGAUGUAUUAACUUUUGAUGAUGUUUCUAAAUUUUCCCACAUAAAAAGGAGCAAAAACCCGAUUUAAAAGAAAGACAAAAGAAGGGAAAUUCACAAGUCAAAAGACUCUCACUCAUUCUUAGCACUAAAACACAGUGGCAGGUGUCUCUUGCGAAGUACUUUGUUUCUUUUUGUGUUUCGCCGACAACAUAAGGUGUCAGGUGAAAUAACUGCACCAAACCACCGAUCACCAAAACAGGCAAACUAAUUGAACAACAAGAAGAAGAAGAAGAAGUAAACAAAAGAAGCAGAAACAGAGGCAAGAAAACCAAAAGGAAAUUCAUCAGAAUAUGGAAAGUUCAGCAACUGAGGAGCAGCAGAGGGAAGGACCCCGUUUCAACAGCCCCUGCACUUUCUUUGAACACGUCAUCAUGGCUUGCCUCGACUGUUUGGGACUUCAUGAUGAUCAUAAUCAACACCCUCCUCCUCUACAGACCGAAAGAGAAAUGAAAUUUAAUGUAAUAUACCAAUCUCUCUCUCUCUCUCUCUCUCUCUCUCUCUCUCGUUAAUAGUUUGUUUUGCAAUCCUUUCUUUUUGUAUGUAUGGGCCUGGCUGUAUGUAUUUAUGUAUGUAAUGCAGGAAGAGACAAUUAUGAUGAUGGCUACAAGAUCAAGGAAGGCGACUAAACCACCUAUAAGCUCUGGUCCAGGUGGUCAGAUUAACUAUUCUUCAUCUGUUUCUUCCUCCUAAACUACUUCAAUCACAGCUCUAGCUCAACACAGACAUUCCACAAACCUAGCAUGGCUUCUACAGCCUUUUUCUCUUUUUCUUUCCAAGUUUUCUCUAGGUUUGUACAUUUGUAAGAUCUAUUUCUAAUCAAGUAGAACUGAUGAGGACAUUAAUGUACAGUUAUGGAUCUAUUAUCCAACUAAUGGAAGUCUCUUGUUGGUUUCUUUGCUCUAACAAAAUGUAAAUUGCUCUCCCUUUUUUGGGUUCUUUUGUCUGUGAUUGAUCAGGAGCUCUUCCUACUUCACUUUUUAGUAACGCGCUUUCCUUGUUCAUGUUCUUAACUUCCUCUUCUGUCUUCUUUGUGCUUUCUCAACUGUGAUUUAUGAUAAUUUAAAGAGCGCUGUUUGGGUCCUUAAAACUUAAGACGAGCUCCUCCUCAUAAUAAAUGGGAUUUCCACACUUGUUCAACAACAAUUUGUUCAUAAUAUUUGAGUUAAGGUUUUGCUUCUCUAACAAAGUGGGGGAUCAAUGCCACUAACCCAAAUAGCUAUUGCCAUGAUAAUUUAAGUUUAUUACCAUUUUUAUAUAAAAAGCAAUGGUAUUGAUGGGUUUAGUCCAGUUCUAUACAGGAUGUCCAAUGUGUGAAUAUCAUUGUAAACAACAAAACAUACAAUGUAUUUUCGUUAAUAUUGAUAGAAUAUCGUAUGGCAUAUCGAUAAUUCAGUGUUUAAUUAAAAAUAGGAAGUCCUACAUAAAACAAUUUUGUAGAUUCGAGAUAUUCCCAGACAAUGUAUAAAAACAUGAUGUGUGUAUAUAAGUUGUCUGUAGAUAAUUUGUUUGCUUUGGAAAUUGAAACCCACCCAAACUUGUUGAAAGAAAAGAAAAAGCUUAGGAAAAAGUAAGGUUCCUCUAUAUAUAUUUAUAUAAAAAAAAGGAUUAGUUUGCAAUUUAAUAAUUUUUACUCAUCUCUUUUGUAAAAUAUUUAUUAGGUUAGCAAUUUUCAUCUCGUUUUGCCCGUACACAUUUCUUCCUUUGUUUUGUAUAUAUAUAUAUUUUAUACAAAUAAUAUUCUAAUUUAAUUUAAUCUAAAUUAUGAGGAGUGGGAUAAGGAACUCUAGUGAAGAGGAAAGAGUACAUCCACUCUAACCAACUUGACUAACUUCAUAUCUGCCUUUUAUUUUGUACUUUGAUUCCCCUUUUCUUUACUCAAUUACCAAAAUACAUAAAUAUACAAAAGAAUACGAACUGGUAAAACGUAAGCACACCAACAACAACAAAAAAACGUAAGCAUGAAAAUCUCUACCCUUUUGAGGCAGUAAAAUUGUGGUGGUGACAUCAAAGCAAUAGAAAUGAACAUUCCAAGAGGAAAAGAUAAUUAAAAAAUAUAUAAAAAAACAGAAAUGAAUAAGUGUCUAGCGGUCUUGAGGUGAAAGGGAGGUGGUACUUUUGUCAUGUUUUACUUGGUAUGGAGCUCUUAUCCCUCUUGCAAGCGAGAAUCUCAAUGUCCUUUACACUUUUCCAUCUAUCAAAAUCAGGGAAUCUCAAUGUCCUUUGCACUUUCCCUUCUAUCAAAAUCAGGGAGAAGGAGAGGGCCAGCAUGUGGCUACCAUUAGUUGCUGUCUGCAAAUCCGACCAUAAAUCAAUAGCAUCUGCUGCUACACUGCAACCUCUAAGUAAAAGAGAUUGAUUUUCUUUUCUAGUCUCUCAACACUCAAAUGAUGUGCCCAGGUCAUUAGGGUUGGGGCUCCGAAAGUUCGAUGUGGUUAACGGGUAGAGAUCUCUCCCGAACCGAUCCGUGCUCAGAUCUACUCACAUCCUUGAGCAAGUUUCUCAUAUUAGACCCUAUGUUAUUGCCCCAGGGAACCUUACUAAGGCUGUGGGUUUUCGCAGCUUUAAGGUUUUCAUUUUAUACUUGUAUCCACCACCAGUGAGUGAGGGUUCAGACCAAGGAAAGAAAGAAAAAAGUAGCUUCUCAGUUUUAUUUCUUUUUGCUUCUAAGAUAUAAAAUAAGUUUGGAUUCCUUCCCCAAAAGAAAAAUGAUAACAUCAGGUUUGUAGACACAUUACAGAAAUCAUGUGACCAUAAAUUUUGAAUUUGUCCGAUUUGGUUAGUGUGUUUUAAUCCGUUAAUCACACGUAGAGGCUCACACAUUAAAGUAGAUUAAUGUCAAAUUCAGCAAAAGAGACCAAGACUCAGGAAGAAAUUGUUCAAAUUCGAGGAAAACACUGGACACCCUGGUAUUAAACCCUAAUACAAGUACGUUUAUGUUCACCAAGUAUCAUGCAAGGGCCUCAAUAUAAAAAGAAAAUUCUCUAAGAGAACAUAAUUAAGCACCCUAAAUACAUAAUUAAAGAGAAAGCCAUUCAUUUAUUUCUACCGUAGCUCUUAUCCAAGAAGAGAACAUACAAAGAUGAAAAUCAGGACUGCCCAAUUUACCAUCCAAUCACAUUUUCUGCCCAUUUUUUUCCCACUUACCCUAAAGCAUUUAAUUAAUAUAUUUUCUUCCUAACUGUACCUGUGGUGCUCGGUUAUCCUCCUUCGCUUUUCAAUGACUUCCAAAUUUAUACCUGUUACUCCAUAAACUCCAAGCAAAGAACCUCAGUAUUCACAUAGCCAUAAACAGCAAUUUGGUCCAUUUGUUAGAUUCCAAGUGUAUUCAUACUCGUUAAUACCAUUCGUUGUCGUUCUUCUCAAACUCACCCAUCUUCCCCUAAAACUGAGUGUUAAUAGUCCUGCUAAAAUGGCAUACUAGGAUAUACGUUUAUCAACUGAAUUACUUGUUCUAAAUCCAACCAUGUUCAAUCCAACAAAAUGAUUAAACCUAGUUAUAGGCUUAUAGCUACGCAUUCAACUGUAUUUUCAAUAUAGUAUAUUAGUUCUAGCAUGAAUAUACAAUACACUUCAUAAGAGCAUAUGCCUAUAGUAGUAAUCUUUAAUGACUUGGUUCCAGAUAUAUAUUUACUGUUUAAUAGAUACCAGGUUAACAUCAAGCCACAGCCAGCUAAACAGAUUAUAACAUUGCACAACUUUAAUCAAAGCUGUAACGUAGUACGGGGGAAAAUUAAAAGCAGACGAUGUUAUUUGAUCAAGCAGAGGGCAUUACAGAGGCGUUCUCAUACAAAUCUACAAGAAACCAAUUACACUUCCAAGUGACAAAAAAAAGGAACAAGGCAAACCAAAGGAUAUCUAUCAUGAAGGCAACAUUCUGAAACGGACAACUGUGACUACAAAGUUCACCAUCCUAACUUAGAAUCAUUAAAUUGGGACUGAAACCUUUUUUUUUGAAGUUAUGUAUAUUCACAAAAAUUUGAUGUUGCUCACCCUGAAGCUCUUGUAUGGUUGUGAUCUACUCUACCGCUUAUUUCGACUGGUUAUAUAGUUGAGUGCCAGCCUAGAGAACCGGGUGAUAGUGAAAAACAUUUGCCACAGAGCACGGCCCUUCACAAUCCCCUCCCGUAUGCCUCUUGCAGUUCUAGCCAAAACUGGCCCUGGAACCUCAGUUUUCGGACUGGUUACCUCCUGCACCGAUGCUAAGCAAGUAAAGAUGAAUUUUACAUUCAUUGCUCCAAAACCUAAGUGAAAACUAAAGGUAAAACAACAAUAACCAAAAAAAGACUACAGAAGACAUGGAUAACCUGAUGGAGCCAUGUUUGUCAAGCGGCGCAACCUCUCCUCUGCCACGCGAACAGCUCGAGUGGAACUUCUAACACCCUGUGUAAUUUCCUGGCUGCACCACAAACUAAAUGAGUCAGCUGAUAAUGAGUUAAUUAAAGAUAUCUUCCAUUUAGCUUAAGACAAGCAUAUAAGAACUUUGAAAUGGUAAGCCAACCCAAGAUCACUGAGCUCCAUAGUGAGGUCACUGAUCUCCAUCCCGGAUAAACGAACAGCAGCCAUUGUGUCAGGAAGCUCUUCCCUCAUAACAUCCAUCAGCUUUUCCAGUGAUUGAGCUGCUCUCUUGAAAGCCUUUAGAAAACCACAUUGGAAAUUCACUUUACUAACAGCGAUUGCUCAAGAAAAACAUAGCCAAUUUCCAAUGCUGAUUAAAAUCAAGUAUUCAAGACUACAAACCAGAAGCGCGGGGAUUGCAGAGCAGAAGAGCCACGUCGCAGAAACUGCUGCCUAUUAGAAAAACCCAAAAACCAAAAUCAAAACUUGACUCAAUCGCAGAAACACACCACCAAUGUCUGUAAUUCUUUCAAAAAAUGUUAGCUGAGAUUGUUGGGUUUUGCUUUCAGAAUACCCUGAAGAAAAACCCAUCUUGAAGAAUCUAAUUUCCAAAGCAUAUUAAACUUCAAUCAGAAACAGAACUAUGCUUCCAAAAGCAUAAAAAGUAUAUUAAAAAUCUAGAGAGAGAGAGAGUUACGGCGCAAGCAACGACAUUGAGCAAGACGAUGUUGCGGUGGGUGAGGUUCCAGUGGGAGAGCUGAAGAAGUGAAGCCGAAGGUAAUGGAGAUCCCACACUUUCCGUGUAGUGCGAUGAAACUGACGGCUGAGAUGCUUCGUUAACACACUCAGACCGUACGGACACCGAGUUCACCCGUCGAGCCGGAAGUCUGAGAUGGUAGGGCAGACGGCCAGGCUUUUUGCUCCCCAGGAAGCUGUAGCUUUGCUUGAUUGUGGGUUUCACCUGCAAUUUCAGACCAGACAACAUUGCUUCCCUCUCUCCUUCUCUCUCUCUCUCUCUCUGGAGGAGCCUACGAGACUCGGUCAGUCGCCCCUCGCACUCUCCACCAGCAGCAAGCAGGCCUCAGCAGAGCAAACAAUUUGUGCGUCAUUUCUGGCUAAGCCGAAGGGCCUUUUUGUCAUUUCAUUGCUGUAAGAUUAUCAAUUGGGCUCUCUGUUUCUAUUAGGGGGUGGGCAUUCAAACCGACAAACCGAAAAGCUGAGCUGAACUGCACCGAAAAAAAAAUCAAGUUGACCAAAAAGUCAACAACCGGUUAAAAUCCGAAUUGGACCAAUUUGGACCGAUUUUGGUUCCGGUUCUGUCUUAAAAAAGAGACCGGGCCGAACCGAACCAGUCAAAUUAAAAUAUAUAUAAUUUCAAUAUUUAUUUAUGCUAUAUUUUUAAUCUUAUAACUAAUAUUUAUUCAAGUUCAAUUUCAAAACAUCUCUCUCUUCUAGCUUUAAUAUUUAUUUUUAUAUGAAAUUGAAUAAUUUAUUAAUUUUCAAGUCAAAAAAAUAAAAUUUCAGUUGAAAAUUGUAUUAAAAAAUAAUAAUUUUAAUAAUCCGGUUCAAAACUAAACCGGACAGGAAUCGGUUCAACCUGAAUCGGACAGUUUUUGAAUUUUUUUAAAUAAAAACUGAAUUGAAUCAAACCUAAUAAAUAAUAUCGGAUCAAUUCUAAUUAGAGACAAAAACUAAUCAAAACUGAACCUUGCCCGUCCCUAAUUUCUACCCAAUUUGCUGGAUUAAUCUUGGGCCUCAUGUUAUAGCGGUUUGGUUAUUGCCAAAAUGGCUAGAGAAACUGUCGGUGCAGUUCCGUUACAACACCGGUGCAGUUUCAUCGGUUUCCAGUUUUGAACUGGUUUUACAAUAUCUAAUAUAACAGCAUAUAUAUACAGUUAUUCUCUCAUUUAGAUGUCUGCAUGUUAUUAUCGUGUGGAUUAUAAACAUGAAGAAAAGAAAGGUUCGGUAGUAAAAAAAUCAUAACGUCCACAUGAUAAUAACGUUUAUACGUCUGCAUAUAUAUAUAUAUAUAUAUAUAUAUACAGUCUCGAUCUUUUGGACCACAAGAGUCCAAGAGAUUGUUGUCACACACCGUUGGAUAUUAAUUCAAUUGUUCAAAAAAGUUUCUUAAAAGGAGUUCAAGAGUGAGUGAACCGUUGAAUUUACAUCCAUCGGUGAGUGACCACAAAUCUCUUGAACCUCUGUAGUCUAAGAGAUCAAGACUGUAUAUAUAUAUAUACACACACACAUAUGCCAAAGGAUAAUCAGUUACUUUUUGUUUAUAAAUUACACAUGUUUAUUCUCAUUGCUGCAGAUAUUCUAGUAACAUGAAAAAUUACAAGCAUAUGGUUUUGAACCGGUUUAACAACUGAUAUUGUCAAACCCUAAAUUACAAGCAUUUAUUACUGUUUACUUCGAAAAGGACUCGUCGGCCAUUCGCGUGGCGUUUGGUCGUGGAGUUUGCUUGUUGCGAUUGCGAAGGCAUGUCACUAUUGACAGUGAAAAACUCCAACAGACUGAAAAUUUGUAUGACUGGAAAAGGCACACCAGUAUUGAGUUUAAUAAAUCGAUUGUGGAUGGGGCGGGGAAUUGACCCAAUACAGGUUCUUUUCUAUGCCUCAAUUAAGAGGACUUCAAUAUUCAUUUAGUGCAAAAAUGGUAACUAACAGAAGUUGAAACUGAACGGUAAUGGAAAUGACAGAAGUUUAUUGGAAUAUUUCUUUAUUCAGACAACUUGAAAGAAAAAGGAAAAUACAUAAACAACACAGCCUGAAAAUUUCUCUAUUCAGACUUGGUACAUAAAAUUAAAAUGGAGAUUGAAGAUUUCUCUAUUCAAUCUUGUACAAGAAAAAAAUCAUACCAGGAGUUGGUAGAGCCAAAUAAAGAAAGUUCCUCAGGAGUUUCAACUAGGAAUUCAGAGAAUGAAAAAGAAAGGCUGUUUCAGGCUUUUGAGUUGGGUUUAUAGAUGUUGAGUCUGGUUUUUAUUGGUUGAAUUGUGUGUGUUUUUGCUGAUGAUUUCUCCUUCAAUUUAUAGAGAAUGAGGUCAUUUAAGUGGACCGGCAGCCAAUUUGAAGUACCCACUUGCUAAUGGUUUUGGUGAGUAGGUUGCUGAAAAUACAAGCAAACCCCAAAAAGUUGCUAAGAGGCUUUGAUGAGAAAUGAUAGAAGUUGUCACUAUUAGACUUAAAGAAAUCCAAAGUAUUAGUCAAUUUGCCAUUGAUUGGUGAGUGACAGCCAAAAGUAGCUAAUUAAAAGAAAAAAAAAAUGGAGAGCUAAUGACCACCAUUUUUACUUCUUUAUUCAUUCCUUAAGCCCACUUGCAUAUUAUUUUAUUCUUCUUUCAACCUUGAUGUAGACUUUUCACGUGUAUGUUGAGCUUUGGCUUUGUUUUAAUAUUCUUCAUCACAGAGAAUAUUAAAUUGUUUCCAUCUACCACAACAUUAUUUUAUUCUUCUUUGAAUCAACUCACUUGUGAUGAAGUCCCUCCAUUGAUGAAGUGAAACUUUAUUUGCAGCCACUGAGUUUCUCUUCCGAACUUGCCUUGAUGCGUGAUAAAUUGGGAAUGCUAGGAUGAUCCAAUUGCUGCCAAUUUCGGAUAUGUUGUUCUCCACAUAAGUAGGAACAAUAUUCAUGAAGAACUUAAUUCCUUUUGAGCAAUAGAAAAUCUGGUUUUAGCAUGGUUACACAUGACUGGUCGUCAUAGACUGAUGUCACGAACAGAAAUCAUGAUUAACGCCCUGAAGAUUCAAUGCUUGUGCUAAGGACGCCAAAUUCAGAAAUGUUAUAGUAGACAUCCAAAUGAACAACUUUCAUGAAGAAGGAAUGUUCAUUUGAGGAUUGGAAGCUGACCCGAAUUGGGCCAUAAUUAGGCCCGAAUUGCCACUGUUAUCAGCUUUCAUUGUUGCUGGUAUGCUUCUGAUAAUUGAUGUCGUGAGGAUUCCACAUUUAUCCAAAUGAUCCCAAAUUUGGAUAUGUUGCAGUAGACAUUCUAAUGAAAAACGUUCAUGAAGAAAGACAAUUCAUUAGAGCAUUGGAAUUAGGCCCGAAUUGAUCCCUAUAAGCUUUUUGCUAACACUGUGCAUCUGGUGUUUUCAGCUCUUAAGAUUCCACAUUUGUCCGAAUAAACCCAAAUUUGGAUAUUUUGCAGUAGGCAUAGAGAUGAACAACUUUCAUGAGGAACGAAACUUGAUUUGGGCACUGGAGGUUGAAUUUUGGGCUCACUCCAUCUGACUGCAGCAAAGCACGUCUAGCCAUAUUUUGGCCAUUUUGAUGUUCAUGGAACAUUAUCCUCCAUUUUAGGCAAAAAUACAAUUUUUGGUACAAACAAUUACAUAUAUAUAUAUAUAUAUUAAAUCCACCAAUCCAGUCCGGCACGUGUUUGGAGGUGUAAAAACCGAGACCAAAACCAGUUGAACCGGUCUAGUUCGCUACGGUGCCAGUUUGUUGACUUUUUAGUCAACUCGGUUUUUCCCCCAAUAAAAAUAAUAACUUUGUACUCUUCAAUGUGUGAAUGGCACUUUUAAGUUGGCAACAAAAGCACCAUUUGUGACUGACUGCUUUAUCUUAACCAGUGCAGCAAUGUCCAAAUCAAUGAAUAAAAGGUUGUGCAGUUCGUUUGAGAGAGAGAGAGAGAGAGAGAGAGAGAGAGAGAGCCAAAAGAUUUUCCUUUCCAUUUACAUCUCAUAUUUACAGAAUAAUGCCCUCUAACUCCCUCUACAAAAUUCUUCACCAACCAUCCACCACUGAGUCUUUUCCACACCCCAACACUGUAACAUUGUAGAUCGAUUAUGUACACUAUAUAAUUCUAAAUGCAGAAAUUGGAAGUAAAUUAUCUUUUCUUUCCUCCUUCCCUCCCUUCUACUUUUUCUUCCUUUUUGUGCUCUGCCAUUUCACAAUUCUCUGUGGCUGACACUUGAGCAGCAGUGAGUGAUCAGUUGCUGACCAGCUCAAGGAUAAAUACAAGGAGACAAGAACCCAAACUAAAAGGAACAAACUAAAAAGCAAUGUUCUCAACUUUUCUCACUAAUCCGGACGACAUCCACAACUGUUGCAUUGCAAAAAAAGCAUCUGUGGGAAUUCAAAAGAUGCCUCGUUAUGCAGCCAUAACAAGACCUAUGCGAACAAGGUGAAAACUCGGCAUCUGCUUCACAGGCAUAACAAAUGCAGCACAUGUCAUCAUUCCCAUCUGUUUCUCCCCUGUAUAUCGUAUUUUCUUGUGAUUGGCUCUGGCUAAGGAGGCUAAGAAAAUUCUCUAACUGGGCAAGUUUUACAAGAUAAGCAUCGCCUCUAAAGGUUCCAGCCUGGAAAAUAAACAAACUACAGUAUAAACAAGAUGGUAAAAACAGCAAUUUGUAAAAUCCAAUGAAGAGCUUUUUCCUUUCUUUUGCCAUCUUUUUAUUCUCUUCUCUUGAGAGAGAAACUUACUGAAAAAUAAUUUGUUAUAUGGAAUUCGAUGUCAAGAACUCAGCUAUAUGAACCACCUAAAGACACAGCUACAAACCCCACCAAAAUCACGGAAGGAUGCAUACAUGUGAAAAGAUCUCACUAAUUGAGUUAAAUGCUUCACAGAAAUCGUGAACAAGUAGAAACCAGGUUACUGAUGUUAAUUAAUUGCAUGCACAGCUAGGACGGGACUAAUAAACUUGCUUUACAUUCACAAGAGAGAAAAAAUAAGUUCUAAAAUAUUUUUAAUUUUUGUUAGAUGAAAAGACUGCAUCUCUUCAGCCCACAGAGAGAGAGAGAGAGAGAGAGAGAGAGAGAGGCUAACCCAGUUGUAAUCCAAAAGGUAUUGGAAUCUGCAAUGAAAACUGUCAAGGCAACCCAUGCUUGCGAAGAUGCUCACUACAUCGUUGUGUUCCAUGCAUUCCAUCUGUUCACUAGCAUUUAACAAAUUCAAGAUAAUACCAACAAGAGGUGCCAAUAUCAUUCCUCGGUUUACUUUUUCUAAGGAUUGACCAUGUCUUCUCAGCGACCUGCAAAAUAGAAUGCCUUAAAUGAUAUAUGAAAAAGAAAAAUGUAAGAGAAUACAAUCAACCAACAGUGAGAAAGCUCGAUCAAAGUACAAAAGUCAAAGGAAAAGUGAAAAUUCCAAAACAAUUUGAAGACCGUCAUGGAUCAAAAGUAAAAUCAAGGAUUUUCCAUGGAACAGCUUGCCAUCAAUACCAAUCCCCACAACUUCAAAUAUGGAAUUCAAAGGAAUCAAUUAGUAAAUGAUAUCACAGAACUAUAAUGAAAAAAUACGAUCAACCAACAUUUAUCAAAUUUAAAAGGAGUGGGAAUAAAUGGUUCGAUCCUCUUAUUUUUAUUUUAUUUACAUGCAUAUGCCCCUCACAGUACAAUGCUGCAUGGCAGUUUACAGCACCAUCAUUAAAUCAAAUAAAAAAUAGAUAAAAAAGAUAAACAUAAAACAUAAAAACUAUGAAAAAUAAAGAGAACUUUUAUUUACACCCCAAAACCAAGCAUUGCUUAUGGUGAGAGCAAAGAUAAGUUCAUUAUUGGAGUGCAUCAACACAGAUAAAUUGGAAAGUAAUAGCCGUCCUUGUAUUUGCAGGCACAGAAUCUUACAAGUCAAAAAACUCAGCAUCUUCUGCUGAUGUUAUGUGGCUCAGAAUAAAGACUAUUAACUCAGUUAACCUUCGAAGGUUUGUUUCAGCUCCAGAUAGAAAUGCUCGAGGUAUCGCAUGGGUACAGAACUCCAAAACCCUUGCAAGGUUGCAUGAAAGAUCAAAUAUGACACUGCAUUUCUUUUGCUGGAACUCUAAUACCUGCAAGAGAUGUUUACUUCAAAAUUAAAAAAUUAAAAAUAAAAUAUGAUGAGGGAAAUACAAAAAAUUGGAAUGUAAAAUAGCCAAGUAAAAAUUUGCACUUUCCCAUGCAUAGUGUUUGAACUAUUACUGACUAUACCAGAGUCAAACAUGAGUAUCCUCAGUCUGGACCGACCUAGUUAACCGGGAACCGGCAGGGAAGCCAGAACAAUUUCACCUUAGAAGAGGACUUUCACUGAACUAGUUUGCUUUUGAUGAACCGGUCAGUUCGUUUUACUUUGAAACAUAUAUUGUUGUGACAAUAAAAGUGUGAAACCAAGUCAAAUUGGUUAAAUAUGAGGCCAUUUAUUACCAAGUCACUAACAUGAGGCCAUUUAUUACCAAGUCACUCCAAUAUCUUUUCACCAUUUCCUCUCAAAGUUCCCCACCCCCUGUUCUUUUUUUUUCCUUAAUAUUACUUCGUAAGUGCACCCUGUGUUCUUUUAGAUCCUCUCCCCAUGACAAUAGCACCCCCCACAGUGAAGUCCAAGCUCAUCUAUGCAUGACAGACAGCAUAAAGUUUGUGUGUGUACAUAUUUAUACAUAGAGAGAGAGAGAGAGAGAGAGAGAGAGAGAGAGAGAAUCUUUCUUCUCAAUAAAACCAAAAAGCUAGAGUUAUAUAAGUAGAAAACAGAGAUGAAACUAAUAAAGUAAAACACAAAUCAAAUACUAAUAAUAAUAAUAAUAUAUUACUGCAUGUCUGAAUAGGGAUAAAAUUAUCCACACCUGGUACUUCUCUUGCAUUUCUCUAACUGAAACUGAGAAUUCAGUCAUUGUCCAGCUGAGAGUGUUAAACAGGCGAUUGAGAAAAGCUGAGAACAACUCUUCAUCACUGACACAAGUUUCCCCUAACAAUCUCUGCAUGAAUUAAGAGGCCAGAGAAGAAUCAGAAGCUAUUCAAUGGUAACAAGAUAUACGAUGAAAAUUCUAAAGCAAAAUUAAAGAUCAUUCACCUGGAAGACAACAGAUGAUGACGACUCUCCAUGCUUUGAAGAACCAAAGCCAGAUCCCUUGCACAAACGCAGAAGAAUGUUUGUCACUGGGAUCCAGGAUCUAUUAUCAAAUGCUGACAGCAAUGCCUUUGGCAUCCUCUGUGUGGCUGCUUCAUUACUCUCAAAAAUGGCCAAAUAUUCUUUGUACUGUACCAAGACUGAGAUCGAUUGGAGAAGCAGGUCCCUUAGAUCAGCACUCGAUAUUCGAGGAUCAUUGAAGUGCGUGACCACAAAAGUUACCUGUGAAACAAGACACAGAUUCAGCAUUCCAAAUACAUUAUUUGAAUAUCAAGGGUAAAAAGAAACCCAAAAAAAAACUCAUAAUCUUCAUGAAUAAGCUGGUCAUGUUGGCCUGUCAAUGGAAAAAUCAGGGUCCAAAUUUCAGAGGAUCUACGCUAAAAAAGCUAAAGCACAUAAAAUAUGACAAAAUCAUUUUUUCCCUUAAUAAGCAUGUGUAAUAUAGCAAACUUCAGAGUUAAUAUUAUUUUUCAGGUAAAUCAAAACACAAAUUAUUUUGGUGCUCAAUUAUCACAUCUGAAAGGAAUAAUUUAUGUUCAUUACAGUGGAUCAUUUAUUUAUUUUUAAAGAAUUAUCAGUUUAAACAAUUAUCGUUUUUAAAUCCAAUAGCCAGUAAUCCAUCGACAAAUUAUAGGAGUACGUUUGUAUUUUUCAGUAACUGUCAUGUCAAAUUGUACACAGAGCAGAGCACAUAAUAGAAAGUAUGAAACACAAGGUUAAAAGAUAAAACAUACAAAUGAAGCAAGGCCUUGCUUGAUAAAUAUUGAUGAAGGUACAAAGGGAGGAUCACUUUUGCGCAACACAUGGAAGCAAUCAACCUGCAAGAAUAGUAGAGCAAUGAAUAAUUCCAAAUACAGAGUGCUUCAGAAAGCCUGGCUCAAUAUUUUUUGGUGGAAUGAAAGCCUGGCUCAAUAAGUCAUAGCAAUUUGUGGAUAUAUCUAGUAUUUCCAGAAACUCUAAGAGAGCAGAUGAACCUUUUUCUAUCCUUAUUUUCCUUUUUAUACUUGUCACGUAUAAAAGAUCAGAAGUUAACAAAUUUGUAGAAAUAUUUAAAGCUCUCUCUCAGAAUUUUUCCAAGCAAUUACAUAGCAUCCUAAUGUAAUUCCAUAACCACUCUCAAGGGAUAGUACAUACUGAGACCACCCAAUAUUUUUCUGGAGAUUAGUGACAUGCGAAUAUCAUCCUCAAAAAACCAUCAAAUGAAAAGAACUUAAGACAGGAAUAUUCUUAUUACAUGAUGCAAUAAAACAAGAGCAAACACAAGUAUUAAUGCUUACUAUAUGCAACAAAACAAGUGAAAACAUAAUCCUUCUCCUAUCAGAUGGGAAAAGCGCAAGCACUCAUACUCAAAUCAAUUUUACAUAAUUUUUUGACAAGGAUUCACUGCACAUCAAAUUUGUUCAAUAUAAGAAGAAUCAACUUACCAGAGCUUCCAGAUAAUACUCAGGGAUAUACAGGAACAGUAGAUCCACUUUGCUAAGAACCAGAAGCAACUGGACAGUCCACAUGCAUGUUGCAUACAUUCCUCUUUGCUUCCAUCGAGAAAUUAGAGUAAUACGGUACCUGUAAUCCAUGAAAGAGUGACCAAAGGAAACAUAGUAUGUAAAUGUAUGCAAAAAAACUAAACUAUGGAUAUAUAUACAGAAAUCUCCUAUGUGGAUGUCCGGAUGUUAUUAUAGUGCGGAUGCCAUGUCUUUUCUACUACCAUUCCCUACUUUUCUCCAUGUUUACAGUGGUAUCUGCACGAGACAUCCGGAUGCAAGAAUAAUAUAUAUAUAUAUAUAUAUAUAUAUAUACACCUUCCCAUUCUAUUGAGAGAUCCCUCAAAUAAAGACCCUUUAGGGUCCCAUAUGAAUUUAUUUCCAACGAACCAAACCAUCUAUUUGUUAAGUUGAGGGACACCUUGUACAAGGAGCUUCAAUUGAGGGAUCCCUCAAAUAAGGGGCACCGCUGUAGGGCCCACUCUGCAUUGUAUUUCACUAAUCCAAACUGUCUAUUUUUGUAAAUAUUCAGUCAAAGAUCAUCUCUACAAAAAAUCAUUUGAAUCUGAUAUCAUUUGACCACUCAAUUGAGUUAUUGAAAUUUUAGUACUUUCUUGAAACACCGUGUUCAUUGAUUUUGUAGGACAAUUGGAUGUCGAAACAGUUUCCGAUUUGUCUAAUUUUUUGCAAGGAUGAUCUAUGAAUACAAACUUAACAAAUGGAUGGUUUGAAUCAUUGAAAAAAAAUUCAUACGGGACCCUAAAGGGUGUUCCUCAAAUAAUCCCUCAAUAGAAAGGAACUGUAAUAUAUAUAUAUAUAUAGGGUCAGGAUUAGGCGACACACAAAAAGCCACACAUUUUGACACGCCUUAUUAACCAUUGGAUUAAAGCACAUUUAAUGGCUGAGAUUGGAUCUGACUAUAUAAUCAUUUAAUAUUUAAUAAAAAUUGUGUAGUGCCUUGAGAGUAUAAAUGAGGACAACUUUUAAUGUCAUCUUGUUUCUCUCUCCAAUCUCACCAGACCCGAAAAAUAAAAAUAAAAAACAAAACCUCUUUUUUUUUUGUUCAUUUUUGGGCUGAAACAUCUCUGUUCUUUUCACCCAUUCUUGCUCAAACCCUUAACAAAUUCGUUUCCUCCUACUCUUGGCUGAGUGGCAAAAUCCUCAGCAUCUUCAUGCAAAUGUUAGAGCAUGUAGUUGUUUGGAUUCCCUCAUAUCUGCACCUAGGGGCUAUUGCCUAUUCUAACUCUAUAAUGGUGAUCCUCAGUUAUGCAACUUAUAAGUUGCUUGGCUUAACCCCAGACACCAGAGUAGAAGAUGUAUUAACCCCAGACACCAGAAUAGAAGAUGUCUUAACCCUAGACACCAGAAUAGAAGAUGGCUAACUAUAAAUCAUUUGAAAGAGCAUCCUCUCAAUCUACUGAUCUUACCCAAAUUUACAUGAAGUUUUACAAACUUUUCUUAUCAAGUUAAAGUAUUGUUUCUAAUCUGGCUUUCUGAUCAAGUUAUCAAGUUAAAUCAUUUGGAUAUUACUGGUUAAGCCAAGCCAUUUAUUAGUUGCAGAAACAAAGGACCCCAGCUCACCAUUGUAGUUAGAAUGGCUAAUAACCCCAAGGUACAGUUCUGUGGGACACCAAACAACUACAUGCACUAACAUGUGGGUAAAGAUGAUGAUUUGGCUCAGCCAAGACUGGGGUGGGUAGGAAACGAAUUGGUUAAAAGGGUUGAGAAGAAACAGGUGAUAUUUCAGCCCGAAAAAGGAUGAAAGAGUUUUGCGCAAAAAAAAAAAAAGGAUGAAAAAGUUUUGCGCAAAAAAUAAAAUGAUGAAAGAGUUUUGCGCAAAAAAAUAAUGAUGAAAGAGUUUUGCGCAAAAAAAUAACGAUGAAAGAGUUUUGCGCAAAAACAAAAAAAGGAUGAAAGAGUGUUGUUUUUAUUGUUUUCCUUUUCAGGUCUUGUGAGAUUGGAGAGAGAAAAGAAAAUUGAAAGUUAUUAUUUAUGUUCCCACGACCCUCCAAAAGUUUUAUUAAAAAAAUAAAUAAUUAUCCAGCCCUUAAUUAUGCUUUAAUCCAAUGGUCUACAAUGUGUGUCAAAAAUGUGUCCCCUGUUAUAUAUUGGUACAUACUAAAUUAUGAAAACUAUACGACUUGCUUACUUGUCCUUUUAUCAGAGAUCAUUCUAUGAAUAUGGUUAAAUUUAAAAGACAAAUAAUGCAACAAACAUAUAUGUAAGAGAAAAGAGGGGAGUAAAAGACAGUUAAAUCUUCUGAACACUUGUAGCCAAAAAAAAUAUAACAGCACAUAUAUAAAUUAUGGAAACAAGCUAAUCUUCAAGGUCAUCUUACCAAGCACAUUGUCUGACACAAUUAAUAACUUCUUCUCUAUAACUGUUGCGGGCUUCUUUCAAACGCUUUAAUUGCUCAUUACUAGCUUUUUCUCUUAUUUGUUUAUCAGCUUCUUCCAGGAGGGAUAUUGACUGCGACUGGUGAGACAUGUAGUACGAUGCCUGCAACCAGGAUUUUAAAAUUCCAGAAAUCUUACAACAUUUGAAAUACACACACAAAUGCGCACACAUCAUGAAAUAUAAUACCUACGUUUCAGAUUAAUCAGUAAGAGGACUAUGAUCACACCUAGAAGGUUUUGGUCAGUUCACAUAGAAGGCAAGACAAAUAAAUCAACAAAUAAGAGCACACAACCAGAAGGCAGAGAACAAAAGACCUGACAGUGUUACUGUUAAAAUCAAAACAUAUAUGGGAAAAAACGAACAAGGAAACAUAAAACCAAGCAAAUAUUAUCAUCAAAUCAACCAACAGAAUAUCACAAUUCCAAAGUUAUUUUAAGUUUUAGCCUUAACAAAUUUUAUCUGCUAAGAAUGCUAACCCGUUAAAGACAAAACCACAUCAGACCAUGACUACAACGAUAUAGAUAUUGAGCACAACAGGUUAAGGAUAACAAAAACAUUGAUUAGCAACACUCCGUAUUCUUUAAAUAAAAAAACGAUCUUGCCCAUUAUCUCCUUACCUGCUUAAAAUUUGGUGCAAGACCUAUAUGAUACAACAGCAACAGAACAUCUAGAAGUUCCUCUUCUCUGAGUGUGGCUGAAGACAUAUUACUUUCCCUUGGUACAAACCUCAAUUGCUGCACUGGGCAAUAACUAAACUCUGAUUCAGAUUGAUAACUAGAGCUAGGUUUAUCUGCUAAUUCAUCAUUCAAAUUUCCAGUACUGCAUUCUGUAGCAACAUGAGCAGAUCUCUCUGGAAUAGGACUGCAAUGGACACGAGAACCUUUGGCUGUGUAUCUAAUCGGAUACUUUGAGAUUCUUGUAAAAUCAUCAUUAUAACAUGAGCAACAACAUGGUUUUUUUGUACUUGAAUGAGUCACUCUGGUUUCUUCAUCAUCCAUACAGCCUUCCUCCCACCGAAUUACUUCUGCUUCCUCAUCAUUUACAGGGUUUGACUUCGAGAGAUGACUAAACGAUCCUCCAAGCCUAGAAUUUUCAUUUCGAUGAAGAUCAUUUCUAAGAAAUAAACCUACGGGAAAGCUUCGUUGACCACCCCUAUGAAGAAAACCAACAUCAGGACCAUUUUCACUGCUCUUCAACCAGCCACAAAUAUCCCCCAUUGCAAACCCUUCAGAUAAAAAAUGAAGAAUAACUGUAUACAAAGAAACAAGAACGGAAUUGCUUGAAACUCCAGGAGGUGGAAGGUUCCGGUCAGCUCCUCUGUUCUUUAGUAGAAUGUUCUGUAAAAAUGUUCUGAACACUGAACCAGGCAACUGGGGAGGUGUCACAGGCGGUAUGAACUGUAUGACCAAGCGACAGAGAUCCCUAUGCUUCUCCUCAAUCUGCGAAUAUAACAUGGAUUAUCAGCAAAAAUUAAGUGUGGAACUUCACAACUGUAAAUGUUGCUCAGCAUAAGCUAUAAAUAAUUACAACGAAAAAAGCGUCCUCAGAUAUGAAAUUCCAAAUCUAUCUGUUGCAGACUAAAUGAUCAACAUUACUGUAAUUAGACUUGUCAAUACAAUUUAAAAUGGAUCAAGGGAAUCCCAUAGAAAACAAGCUGAUGAUGUUAAAUAUUGUUCACCUCCAUGUCAAACAUUGAUGAUGUAAAAUACUGUAUAUAUCCAUAUUAAAAAUUCAAAUACUAAUUAAUCAACUUCACAUCAAAGAUAAAGCAGUUCCCCUCCAAACUCAAUUCACAGCAUACACCAUAAGAGGAAAUUCACUAUUUAAUUCAAAGCUUAAACUUUAAAUACAAAAUGAAAUUAGCAUAGAUUUUUUGUCCAAAUAAAUAAGCAUGGAUUCAAUACUUUCAUAUUGGAAUACAAGAAUAUGAAACUAAAUUUUUCCUAUGACAUAAGCACAAAUAUGUACUUAUCUAUAUCUUUAUCAACUCAACUUGUACCCAAGCAUGACUUGCGUAGAUGAAAUAUGCCUUUACCUUCAUCAAUUCAACAAAACCAAGAAAUAUGUCCUUAUCUACAUCUUCAUCUAUUCAGGUUUCAUGGGAUUUAGUGUAGAAUCCUACUUAUAGAAUCAUAUGGAUCACAUGCCCAUGUUAUCUGGUACAAGUGUGAGAGAGAGAGAGAGAGAGAGAGAGAGAGAGAGAGAGAGAGAGAUUCAUGUGUGCGUGCUGCCAAUGUACAUGGUUUAAUUGAACAUUAAAGCUCAAAUUAUACGGUUUUUACUUGCCCUAAUGAAAACUUCCAUGAGGAAAAUUGUGACAUUCAUCAUACUUCUUGUUCAAUGUUACAAAUAUUUCUAAAUACUUGCACUCUCGCUUAUUAUAUGAUUAACAAUUUCAAAGAGGCUCUUCAUCCCCUUGCCCAACUUUUACAUUCUAGAAAUAAUAUAAUAUGGACAAUACCAACCAACAAAUAAGACAAACUAAAUUAUGGCAAUAAAAGAAAAUCAAGCUCUUUAGCUUAAUAUGUACCUUACUGACUGCUUCAGAUAAAGCUUUAGUUGUCAACGCCAUGGUGCUUUCAUAUGACACAUCCUCACAUGAACCAGGCCACGAAACAGAAGGCAUCAUGGAUUCAAGAUCAUGCUUAUUCGGAUUCUUCCGUGAUAGGAACCCUUCGAAAAGGAAUUCAAAAUCAGGCGAUUUCCACCAAAGCACCAUAAGCUCUUGUCGUCUCAAGAUAUGGCAUGCCAACGCGAGGUAUGGGUAUGACCCUGAACAUGGGCACUCUUUUAGAACCAGUGGAGCUAUUUUGCAACCACACGCCAGGGCAUUUAUGAAAUGUUCAAACAGCAUACGUGAUCCUUCAAAUUCCAGAAAGACAUCGAGAACUCUAUCUAAGCUUGAAUAAUCAUGAGGCACCUGCUGCCCAAACACUUCCAUCAUGAAUGACAGAAAUGGACCCCAGGCAAUGUACUCUAUGCUCCAAACAUCCACUCCAAGUACAGAAAAAAAUUCCUCACAUAUCCCAUGAGAAGCAGGAUAAAAAAGUUCUUCAUGUGAAACAAACCUCUUCAGUCGCCUCCAUUUUUGAACAGAAGAAUGCUUUGCCUGCUCAACAGAGUGCAUACCCAAUAGCCUUGACAAGCAACACAGCAACUGAGUAGCAACCGGAAUUAAGGAUGGAGGUUCUUGAAGGGGAAGGUAGCCUUCAAUGGGAAAUCUAAAGGGGCGGGCCCCAAAAUUUAGUUCGCAUCGUUCACCCUGAGAAAGAGAAAUUGCAGGAUAAUAUCCAGAUACUGGUCCCAUCUUACGAAUGCCAUGAAAUGCAGCCCCAAGUGAGACACCAUUUCUGUAGAAUGAUAUUUCAUUACAAUCCAAAUCUAUGCAGCAGCCAAUAGCAUCACCAACAACCCAAGAUUGACCAUAUGGCUCAGCUUCCUUGUUCCAUUUUCUAACCCUCCUCCCAUCAAAUGCAUACGAAUCAUCAGCAUCACCCACACCCUUAUGGUCAGUAAAAGGGCAAGAAACGGUUGCCCAUCCAAGUUGCUGAAUACCUGAAGUUUCUAGAAUAACUUCAUACAUCCAUUUACAUUUCCAUACAAAAGCAUUAGCUCUGGCACUGCUGAACAUUGCUAAGCUCUCUACAAGCAAAGGUGGCUUAAUAGGUCUAAUAUCACCACGAAUACUGAAUUCAUCAAGACCAACGAUGUGGGGACCACAGCCAUUCCCAGGAAUACAAACUCCAUCUCUGUUUCUAACCAAAGCACUUGAAUUUGCAUGCAAUUUAGAGAAUUCUUUCUGUAUAAUGCAGCGAACUAGAUUGCUAUCAAUUGGACUGGGCAACAAACCAAAAGAUUUGUUAGGGAGACCAAGAACAUAUUCUAAGGUCCGCUCCACUGAUUGAUGGCCAAAAUCAUCACAGUAUGAAACAAGAUGGGUUUUCGACGAAUUCUCUUUACUAUCCUCAUCAUUCAAUAUCACAGCCAGACCAGAAGAAAACCCACCAAUCCGUAGGCUGUCCUCUGCCAUUCUGGACAAGGACGAGCAAUAUAUGCCCAAUACUAUCCACAGCACUGGAAAAAUUUAUUCAAACUUCAAUAUGCCUAAUAGAAAGCCAAUUAUGAUUCCAACACUGAUCCAUCCCAAUCAAAACUCUGAAACCCAAAAAAAUUACCAUCAUGACCUGAAAUCUCAAGGUUGAAAUGCAUACAACUUAGUUUCAUAAACCAUCUACAGAACGUUGUUCUGUUGGUUUCAGAUAAAUACAGAAGAACACAAAAUCACAACAGCAACUUAAACAUAUUCCAUGGACUUGGUUCACAGUGAAAGUAUAUAGAACAACUCAAUCAAGCUUAGCACAAUUAGUCGGCAAAAUUAACGUAAAUGUUUACAAACUACGUGACAAAACAAAAUAUGUAAAUUUCACAUUCCCUUGUCCUUUCUCCUCCCCUCAGUUUUCUCGGGGACCAAACAGGAUCAAGGGGAAAAUGAAUUGGAGGAAAAUUCGGAAUUUAAUUUUAUAAUUCAAAAACAAACGUACAAAAUCUUCAGUGUUCUAAUGGCAACACACAGAAAAUUGAAUAAUUGGAAAAUGAUGAAAGAACUCACAGGUCCUGGCCUUGUUUAUCGUUUUCACAGUAAAUAGCGGCUAGGGUUUGGCAGCAGCCAUCAAAAUUAGCACCGGCUAUAAUCUUAAUAUGCCUCUGAGAGAGAGAGAGAGAGAGAGAGAGAGAGAGGACGAGGAAGAAGGACAAAAAUGGAAUUUUGAAGUUUUCGCCAAAAGUCGGGGGACGCGAGCGCACCACGAGACGAGAGAAAGACAAACAAAAACGAAACAAGCAGCUGCUGCUUCAAGACCACGCACGCUGACCUCAAGCCCUAAAAAUGGAACUUACCGACACGUGUCGCACUCCCGCGGGAGUUACCGGCUGCUGACCUCGCGGGUCGUGCUAAACUGCGCCGGUGGAUGGACGUCUUGUGGCUGUAACUGGAUGGAUCCAUGAGAAUGACGUGUUCCGAGUUUUUUAAUGUUUAAAUUUAUAAAAAAAAAGGAAAAAAAUGCUGCUAUUUCCCCCCUUUGGAUGAGAUAAGAGGGAAGGAGAACAAAGAUGACAGACAAAAGUGGGGAGAGAAUCCAAAGAUUAGAAGGGGAAGAGAGAGGGGGUAAGAGGAAGACGGUGAAAGAUUAAAAAGGAAAUUAAUUUUUGUUUUAUGAAAAAAUAAAAUUAAUUAAAAACCCUUAAUCUGUGAAUUUGUUUAAAUUAAUAAUUAAAUGGUAUUUUUGAAAUAAUAGUUGGUGGAAAGAUAGGAUUAUAUUUUUUCAAAUUUACAUAGUGAGUGAGAAGAUAAGAUGAAUGAGGAAAUAUGACAGGGUGGAAAUAACAGCACUUAGAAAUAUGUGUAAUGUCUAACUCCCUUAAGCUUUCUAGAUAAGCAAUCUAGCAAAUGUUAAGCCAAUAACUCUAAAACAUCGCAUGCUUGAAGACAUUAGGUGCAAAGACACCCUUAUGAGCUUAGUCUCAAGAAAAAAUUACAGUGAUAAUUAAACUAGCUAGUCCCCUAAAAUAUAACUAGUCUCGACUAUGCCAGAAUUGACAUUCACGAGGGGCAUAAACAAACUAAAUGGACCACAACUAUUGUGUAGCAAUAUGAAUGUCAUACAGCCCUCCCUCAAGAUUCCCUGACCCUCACGAUUUACUUGUAGUGUCCUGAUUUGAAAUGUAAUGUGAGGUUUAAUAUUUUUUUUAUACAAAAAAUCAAGGAUUCGGGACGAGGAUGGGGGAUAGCCCCUCAACAGGAAUGAGACAGAGAUUCAUUGAAACCUCUUAAAUAGGGAUGAGGGAGGGGAGCGGAUCCGCUGUCCCCAAUUUGGUGUCCCCUUCAUGUCCUUUCUUUAAAUGUUUGACAAGUGUCCUAUCACUUACCCCUAAUAUAACAGUGUUAAUUUAAUAAAAUAAAAAAACUAAAAAUUGAAAAACAAAAUAACAAUAAAUCAUAACAGCCACUGUUACCAAGUCCCUCCGCCCAGCAAACACCAACAGUCACCCACCCCAAUCACCCCAUCCCACUGGCGGCAACCUCCCUUUCUUACCCUACCUUAGGCCAGCCACCCAACAUAAGCCGCCCUAGGCUCACGAUCUAGUAGUGGGUUAAAGCUUUGCAACCAAUAAAAAUCAACCACCCUUCCCCGAAAUCAUACACAAGUGAGCAGUCCCUUUCAUUGUAAACACAUGCAAAAACAACAAAACUAAACGAAAAAUCAAAUUGAAACAAAAAAUAAAGAUUGGCAGAGAAAAGAACAACAUAUAGAAGAGGAAGGGAGGGAGGGAGGGAUGGAGAGAAAGAGACAGAUACAUAAACAGAGGUUGGAGUGGGUGACUGCCAGGUUGGAGUUCUUAAUGCUGAUUGAUGACGAGCUUUAACCUCAUAUCCCAAAAUGCCGGUUACCUUUGCUCGUGAGGCUCCCAAGGUUAAAAAAGAGGUUGGAGUGGACUGUUGGUGUUUCCUGGGCGGAGAGACUUGGUAAUAGUGGCUGCUAUGAUUUAUUGUUAUGUUGUUUUUCAAUUUUUAGUUUUUUAUUUUAUUAAGUUAACAUUGUUAUAUUAGGGUUAAGUAAUAGGACACUUUUCAAACAUUUAAAGAAGGGACAUGAAAGGGACACCAAAUUGGGGACAAUGGAUCCGCUCCCACGAGGGAGGGAGGGGAUGGGAAGCAGGGACAAAGAUGUUAUUGCCAUAACCAACCCAACUCAUUGUCUUCCCUAAGUCAGAUACCCACGUUUUGAUUAAUCGAACCCAAUGGUCACCCACCCUAAGAAUAAAUUAGUACUAAUUUUUCUACUAACAAACAUAGUAUAUUCAUUUUUUUUACUUUUUACCUCACCAUUAUAUUCAUAUUUAUUUUUUAAUAAAUAAGAUUCUUUAAUAAAUGAAAAGAUAGUAGAUUUUUAUGUUGUUUAUUUUUAUUUUUUAAUAAGAGUUCACGUUUGAUCUCUCUCACAUAUUAUGAAUUUAUCACUUUUGUAGUAACAUGCAUUCAUGUUACAUGACAAAUUAUUAUUUUUAAUAUAAUUGAUGGUCUAAAUUAUUCUAAAUUAAUCUAAUUUAGAAAAAGAAUGAUUCGAAAAUGGACGAAACCCGACUGACAUAAUUCACAUUUGCAAAAUACUUUUUUUUUUAAAUUUAUCUUUAUGUAUGGUAUGAUGUCUUCUUUUUUUUUUUUUUCUCUCUACAAUACCUACUCUACUCAAAAUAGGUCAGCUCUACUAAUUGCCAAACUGAAAAGGUCAAAGCCAGUUUUCUCAUUGAAAACUGAAAUUGGAGUUUGACAUUCCAGUUUUCUCAUUGAAAACAUAAGAGAUGUGUUGUCCAUUAAGGAUGACUCGAUGAGAAACGGUCUCGACGCCCAAACAACUUUGAAUAAAAGAAAGCUUUGUUAAUGUAAAGGUAGGCUGGAUUUGCAUUCGACCAAAAUUCUAAAAUAUAAUUACUGCAAGCACCGACCACGCAGGGACAUGUUUCACUAAUUAUAAUAUAAUCUGUCUUAUAUUUUUUUACUUACAGAGGGUAUGCUGCUAGUAAGCUGCACGUCUAACUUGUACAUGGAGCAUCUUCAAACUCUCAUCAUCACUGAAAUAAGCUCCUCCCCUCUGAUAUGCUAAGUGGAACAAAAUAGAAAAAAGAGAAUCCCUGCCAUGCCACGAUCCCCAUAGAUGAGCUACAUUUACUAGUUACUAUAUCGGUUAACAGCCAAUUUCCUACAGCACCACCAUUGGGGGCAAGUUAACCAAAUCGGUCCCCAUCUGUCUCGAUUGCCACGAAAGUAAAAAUCCUCAUGAGUUCCAUUGCCAAGGCUGAACACGCCCAAUCCUUUCUUCCAACAUUGUUCAGAUUAAGCCUAGCUGAAAUUCCAUAAAGAUGGUCAGAAUCCCAUUCGUUCCACCAUGGAGCAGCAUGAUCAUUAGAGAAAUAGAUACGAUUCCUCAUCGCAACACCAAGUCCCGUCGACGAAACAGAUUGCGAGCAACAUUUGCCUAUAAAUAAGAUUUUAUCACCCAAAUCAUGUACCCUCUUCGAGGACAUCAAGCAAAGAUAUUAGCAGCAUUAAUCUGCCAAAUGUUAUAAUCAUUGCUUAUAAGAUAGAAACUUCCAUCACUUAAGACAGCAUCCUCAAAUGGCUCACCAUCCAGUUUAUGUUUAAGCCAUGAUUCAACUCCUGGGACCCAAAAAGAAAGCUCCCGACAUUCACUAUGAACAAGCAUGCAAACUGUUGAAGGAAAAUGUGAUCCUCCUAACAUAAUUUCACCACUACUAAUUAAUUAAUGGAGUUUUAUUAUUUUAGGCUCGAUCCAUUCGAGACGCAAGUCUCUUAAUUACAAUCCCUUGCUUUAAGAGAACACCCUUUGAUUCCAUCAUAAAAAAACAGAACGUGCAUGUUUGAUUUUGCAGCUGCUCCCAAGUCUAACCUCAGGAUGCCUACGUAUUCCUCGCGGGAAUCAAGCCACUCGUAGUUUAAAGAAUUACAUUGAAUAAAUGACUCAUUGCAAAGGGAAAUGUGAAUGAAUUUGAUUGAAAAGUGUUUGAGUGAAUUUGGCUGAAUAAACCAGGGAUUCGAUUUUGAUGUGUGUUUGGGGUGAAUUUGGUUAAGAAUAAACCAUGGAUUCAAAUUUGGUUGUGGUUGCGUCUAUUAGGAUGCUAAACUGCCUGCGUACCCUUGUUGGGAUCAAACAAACGUAGUUCGGAUUUAAGAUUUGGAAAUUAGCAGGUAAAGGUGACCCACUAAUUAAGAAUUUGUGUUUGAGAGAUUUGAAUUGAAAUUUGCAUGGGUAUAUGACCCAUGAAAAAUUGGAUGGUUUUGUACCAUUUUUCUUGUUGUCAAUGUCCAAGAAGAAUAAUGAGUAAUUUUGAUUAUCCCAUUAAUUUUUCCUAAAAUUGACAAUUGCACUUGGGAAAGUGUUUUGGCAAAAUUUGGUUAGGAUAAACCAGGGAUUUAAAUUUGGCUGCGGUUGCAUCUAUUGGGAUGUUAGACUGCCUACGUACUCUUGACAGGAUCAAACCAACGUAGUUCCAACAUUUGAAAAUUAAUAGGUAAGUGUGGCCCACUAAUUGAGAAUUUGUGUCUUUAGGACAAUUUGGAGAUUUCCAUAGGUAGAUGACCUAUGGGAAAAAUUGGAAAUUAAUGGGUAAGUGUGACCCACUAAUGGAAAAUCAUGCUUGAGAUAUUUGAAUAAUCUCAUUGGAAAAACGACAUAUGUAGAGGGUCAACGAAUUGUAGAGGAAUAACGCUCUGUGAGGAAAAAAAAAAAAACCCCUUCUACGCCGCACAACCUUUGGGGAGGGGGAGGGGGAUGGGGUGGGGAAGGAGGUUCUCUCCUUCUCCCCUUUCCUCUGGUUUCUCUUCUCUAGCCUGCUCCUUGCUGCUUGUGGAUUUCCUUGUGGAGAUUCGUUGCUCGUUUUCUCCUCUUCUUUGUGGGUGUUUCUGCUCUCCCCUUUUGUGGGUGUUCUGCUCUCCCAUUUGGUGGGUAUUGUUCUCCCCUUUGUGGGUGUUUUGCUCAAGCUCUGCUUGAACUCUUGAGGCUUUAUGCCUAUGGUUUCCUUUAUUUACCCAGAUCCCCCCUUAUUUCUCAUCCCUUGUAUUCAGUUGUCCCCUACUCCAUCCAUUUCCUCUUAUCUCCCUCACACACUCCAUUCAAAUCCCUUAUCUACGGUCUUGGUCCUUCCCACCGAAAUUUUCUCCUCCCUUUUGAUCUGGCUUCACCUUGUGGUUGCCUCGGCUAGCCGAAAAUGUGGUUUUCCGUGCACAACUCUGAAGAUGUGUAGAGUUCGAGCUUUUGCUCUUUCUCGGGUGCCUACACCACCUCCUUAUAUUAUGUUGAUGUUUGUUUGGUUUUUGUGUUUGUUCUGGUGCUUUGUCAGGUUUGAUUUGGGAGGUGAUGAUCUUCUUGUGGCUGGCUUCUUUUUUCUUGUAUGUGUCUUUGUAAUAUGUGGGAUUAUAAGGUAUUUGGGUGGAUCUGUUGGUCGUGCGAUUUUUUUGCUUUGUGCCCCUUGGGUGUGGCAGCUUUUCACUUCAACUUGUCCCGGUGAUGUCGUCUCAAGCGGUGGUGGCGGCGACUCUGUUGAAUUUUGGUUAGGGUUUGUUAGCUUUCUUGGCCUUGGUAUGGGCUUGUGUGGGCUUAAUGCCGUCUGGGUUUUUAACUUCUUGUUAGCUCUUUUGCAUUUUAUUUGGGCCUCUAGCAUUUUCUCUUUGUUGAUGUGCCCAGUUGGUUGAGUCUAUCUUUUGGUGUUUUAUUAUGCCCUUUUGUGGGUUUUUAAUGAAAUCCACUUCUGACCCCACAAAAAAAAAAAAAAAUCUCAUUGGAAUUUUCAUGGGUAGAUGACCAAUGAGAAAAAUUGGAAAUUAAUGGGUAAGUGUGGCCCACUAAUUAAGAAUUUCUGUUUGAGAGAUUUGAAUUUAGUCUCAAUGAAAUUUGCAUGGGUAGAUGACCCAUGAGAAAAUUUGGAAAUUAAUGGGUAAGUGUAACCCACUAAUUGAGAAUUUGUAUUUGAGAGAUUUGAAAUUAAUCUCAAUGCAAUUUGCAUGGGUAGAUGACCCAUGGAAAAAAUUGGAUGGUUUUGUACCAUUUUAAUGAGUAUUUAUUUGAUCACUCAUUAAAUACUUUGGGCUUUUGGGAAUUAAUGGGCAAUUUUUUGAUAACCCAAUAAUCUGUCUCUGAGCCUUUGAUAUUUUGACUAACCCAUGAACAAGGAGUCCAUGUUAGAAAAGCGUUGGUACCCAGAAGCGAAUUGAAGCCAAAAUAGCAGCUGUUAAAAGAAAUUUGCUUCCCAUCUUUACACUCCCAAAUUUAUCUGGUAUAUUCGUGACCAAUCCAAUUUGAGAGCUAUCUCCUUUUGCUUCACUUGUACUUUUGGUUUGAUUGUUUGCAAACAAUCAACAGAGAAGGAAUUCAAGGCAUGGCACGUGGCCUUUUCAAAGCCUUGUUUCGUUUCUUUCUUUUUUUUGUUGUUGUCUUCUUUGUUGACUUUUUUUUUCCUUGUUUUUGGUUUGCUGCACAACACUAUGCUGCCAACAAACGUGGCUAUCCUCUUCUUUUCUCAUAUCCCAUUCAUUUCAGACUUGGUGCCGAAAUCACAUGGUCCCAAAUUUGAUUAAGGCACCCCAAAAUGGAAAUCCUUCUCCCAAUGGGUUUUGAAUAAGCCAAAUGUUCCUUGUUGAAUUGGAAGGCCUUGGAGUGAUAAGAAGAACAGUGGCCUCUCUCCAUACAAGAUUAGACCACGCAUGUAUCUAUUUUUAAAUAGAUACGUUUGCGUGACAGCAAACUAAGGCAAAGCACUUCUCAUAGGCCCUGUUUGGUACACCUCCUUGGAUUGGCUUAGAUUGGACUAACUUAAAUAACACCCCAAGCCUAUGUUUGGUGCAGCUCAUCUUUAAGUUAAAUGAGACUAUAUAAUCCUGGCCUACAAAAAACACUUCACUCGUUGGCACAAAAUAGAGAACUCUGAAGAGGUGCCGCUAAAUAAUGAAGACGCUAUUGAGUCUGCCAUUAUCCAACGUUGCUCUGCUCUCCUCUUCUCUUCGACGUUGCUCUGGCUCUCUUCUUCCACGUUGCUUUGUUUUCAUCUUCUGUUGUGCUCUACUCUCACUCACUCAGGUUAGUUGUUCAACUCUCUUCUUCUCUUUCCACUUUCUUCUCUGUUUGUCUCUCUCCUUGGUGAUAUUUGAUGGGUUCAAUAUGUUAUUUCUUAGUUUGAUUUUUAAGUUUUGAUUAUGUGGUUUUUUUGUAGUUAGCUUAAUUUGAUGAGAAAUAACAUUUGUAUUGGUUAAUUUUCAUUGGAUUAUAAUUGGGUAUUUUUCUAGGGUUUUCAAUUUUGAAUUGUUUGAUAUAGGGUUUAGUUAGGAAUGAGAAGAAUAAAGGGGUAGAGGUCAUGUGGCUAAUUACAUGUUGUGUUGGCAUCUAUAAAUAUUGUAUGAGUUUUGCUUUAUAUGAUGUUGGGAUGGUUUGGAGCUUGUCUCACCACCAUGUUUGAACGAAGAAAAGAAGAAUAAAAGGGUAGAGGUCAUGUUGCUAAUCGCAUGUUGUGUUUGCACACAGACAUUUGGUUUUUGCAAACACAACAUGCAAUUGCAAUCACAGUUUGCAAACACAACAUGUAGUUUUUGCAAACUGUGAUUGCAAUUGCAUGUUGUGUUUGCAAUUACUUAGUGAUGGUUUAGCAAUUUACAUUAGGGAAGUUGAACUUUAACAUUUUGGAAAUGUUCUUAAAAUAUAGGCAAGUUUUGGAAAAUUUAAUACCAAUUUUUGGUCUUGGAAUUAUAGUAAAAAUAGUUGAUAAUUAAAAUAUUAUCACUUCAAAGAAAAUUUUAAUUUUUUUUUUUUGUACCAGUCCAAGCAUAAACCAAACACAGGAUAAUACUAUUUUUGUUAUCCAGCUUCUUAGUCCGAUGCAGCAUCAAACGUAGGUCAGUACCUAAUCCAACUUAGACCAAGCCAAGCCAAUCCAAGACAGUCUUAGGAUUUAGUCAAGUCCAUAAUAGUCCGCCGUACCAAACAGGGCCAUAGACUUUGCUUGACCUUUGCUGCCAAAAAAAAUGUGACUGUCUUCAACUCCCUUUUUUUUCAGUUCAUCGCCUCUGUAUGCGCCAGACCCCAUGGUUUUGUUUGUGGGUUUUGUACCCAGAUUGGAUCGGUCACAGAGUGUUUGAUUGAGGGUUACACACCCAUGAUGGAUUUUGUAUCCAAAAUUUGUUUUGUGGGUUUCAUACCCAAGCUAAGAGACUUCUAGGGAGGAACUUUGGUGACGAUGCACAACCUUAGCUGUUUGUCUGUGGGUUUGGAUGCUCAAAGCAUCUGUGAGAGAAAUCUCACUGUCUUGCUGCCUUUGAUUCUUUCAGUUUGAUUUAUUUUUUUGUUGUUUGUCCAUCUCAUGAUGAACAUCAUUGAACGAGCUUUGGCUUUUGUGGCGCCACAAUAAGGGAAACCUAGAGAACUCUAGGAUUUCCUCUACGCCCUUUCCAAGAGAGUUGUGCACCAGUUCUGAUUUUUUUUGGUGAUUUGCCCAACAUGACAAUCAGCCCACACGAAUUGAUGUUGAAUUGGAGGUUGGACACAUCUUUGAAAGCAUUUGAUCAGAGCUGCCUGUUGGAAUAGAAUAUAUGAUGAUUGAAAUCAUCUUGGCUGUCAAUCCAUAGCUGGCUGUCCUGGAGGUACUUGAGAAGAGGUACACCUUAGAGUAGUUUCUUGACUUAAUAUGUGAUGAUUUCAAUCAUCAUAGCCAAGAACCCCCAUGGGUUAAUCGUACUGGAUGUUGAAUGCAUCCUUGAAAGUCUUUGAGCGAAGCCUUGCCAUAGAGAGAUUCCUCACUUUAUUUACGAUGAUAGAAGUCACCAUAGCCAAGAAUCCUCUUAUGUGCUUGCUCUUCCUCUUCGUUCCUGCAACUCUCCCCAAGACUUGCGGCCUUAUAGGCUUUUAUUUUUUUCUGGAGCCUCCCCUUUUAUUUUGUUUCUGCAACCUCACGGCUGCCUCCUGCCCCCCGAUUCUUGCUUCUAGGCGUCAUGCCUCUUAUAAAGGCUAUAUUAUGACGAGUUUGAAUUCAAGCUGAUGACCACUUCUCAACUGAGAUGUUUAUCUCUUUGUGUUUCAUAUCUAACCAAAUACAUCUCUUUUAUUUUUUUUAUUUUUUAAUUUUUUAAUUUUUUUUCUUGAUAAGACGGCGGGGACAAGAAUUUCAAUUAUAUCCCAAGUCAAACUCCUGGCUGAUUGCUUUUGUGAAAAUUUCCCGUUCAACACAUAGUUUUCAAGGAUGGGAAGCCCCGAGAGAACAAUCUUAUGAUAAAAGUUCCAUGUUUUGGGAAGAUCAGUUUUGUUCCUAGAGAAUGGAUUCAACAAGCUAAUCUCAAGAUAGAAACAACCAAUAUGUUUUACUAGAAUCAACCAAUCUUGAUAUGAUCCCCAACAAUAUCUUCCAUAAGCCUCAGGAAGCACAAUGUCCCAAUGUUGUUUUUGUAGUACGCUAAUACAAGUUCUUACCUCUCUAUCUUUGCCAGACAUCAUGAGCCAUGGCACACCACGGCUUUGCCAACCAGCAAGUUCUUGUGCAACAACAUGUCUCCAGGCUUUGCAAACAUCACUAACAGAUAUACAAUCAGUCACACUCACAGUCAGUCGCUCAAAGAUGAUCUCAAGGAUACCCCGAGGCAGCUCUGUCCAAUCCAGAUUAACAAGCUUCUGCUGCUUCUGUCUUCUAUUUCUGCUUCGACCCAUCGUCCAGCUCUAUGACUCUACUCGCCUACAAAAACAAAUAUAAUUAUUGAAUAUCCUUAAACUAUCUUUGGGAGAAAAGAGGGGGGAAAGAAAUCAUAAACGACAUGUACAUAAUAACACAGUCCCAAAUGUAUAUCUUCAGAAAGUAAAGGCCGAAAAAUAGACAUCAGCAAACAAAUGGCAAACGGACAGUCACAGUCAGUCACAAAAGUGAGCAAAAGAAUUACCUUCACAGCUGUAAGUCGAGUGAUCUCAUUUCCCAUCCGAUCAACAAGCACAGGAAGGCAUACAGGCAGUUCAACAUUAAGGUUAUCACCAAAUGUUCACACAACUAGAUCCAUGCAAGAUAUAGCACAUUCAUUUACCUCCUGCAUAAGAAUAGACAUGAGCCACAAUAUGUGCAGACAUAAACAAUUAAGUACAUAUAUAGGAUGAUCUUGAUCUUUAUUUGUCAAGCGUGAUAUUAUGGCAUUAUAUAUUGGAUGAACAUAAGGUUUGAAAUCAAAACCAAUCCCCUACAUGGAAUAACCAUAUCAUAUAAGUAGAGAAUAGUUUAACAGGACCACAAGACAAAGUGUGCCCACUAAUACACCUCGAUAUUCAGGCGAACAACAUGGAAAAAUUCCCUACACACCCUUAAUGCUUCAGCUGUGACUUUGUAAUAACGCUCUCCCACAGCAGAUACAACAGGACUAGAAAGAGUCUGCAAUAAUAUGAGUUUAUAUUUUAUAAUGUCCCCAAACGAAUGCAACUAGUGGUCUAUUUCUCAAUGUCAUAUCAGCGUAUUCAUAACAUAGCAUAUUCGUAAGAGUUACUGCAGUUACCUUGAUAUAAGGAUGGAAAACACAGAAGGAGAAUGUGAAGCCAGCACCAAUUGCGCAGAUAUAAGAGCUUCAAUCUUUAAAUUGGAGGUAAAAGACUUAUCCUGGAAAAAAUUACAAGAGACCACCAAAAAAAGGAAAAAAGGGGAACAAAUAUCAGCACCAGAAAAGACUUAUCUUAGUUCAAAAUACACUUACAAUUUGAGACAAUUUUACUUACACUUAACGCCUUUUCAAUUCCUGGACUGAGUGAACCCUUGUGAUCAGCCAGGAAAUCUGGAAAGACCACCACAAGUUCUUUCAAAACAGAAAGAGCGCCAACCCGAAAAUAGAUAAAUGUUAUAGUUCAGAACAUUCCCAUAACAAACAAUCCAAAAGAUAUUUAAAAAAUCCUACCUUUGUCUUGAUAGAUUUCUCAUGUAGCUGCCUAUUUAUAGAUCUGACAAUCUUUGGCGCUUCUUGCUUCAAUAACCAUUUUGGACUGCAAAACAUGCCAAGAAUUUAGCAAAGGCAUCUAAUAACUCAGAACUAGGACUUCCCUAGUUAAGAAUCUAAGAUUUCUAAAACCACACCCAACCGAGCAAAUGCUAGAUAAGAGGUAAAAGAGAAAACAAACUGCAUGUACUUUAACACUCAGAUAACAUUACAAGUUUACAACUAAGUUACCUCUGAUCAUUUAUCUCAAUCCGUCCUUUUGUAACAUUUUCAGUUUGCUGCAACAGUUCAAUGAAUGUAUUAAAAAAUCCAUCUGCAGCAAAAUAAUUAAUCCUGUGAAGUGAGAUGAUCCACUGACAUUCAUUCUGGUUUACAUUGACAUUUUCCUCCCUCUCUUCAAACCUGUCAAUUAAUUUUGGACAAGCCUGCGGAAAAGCAGAAAGUGUUUAAUGAUUUCAUUGAAGGACUAUUGUGAGAAUUGAAGGAAAUUAAACAUCACAUUUCAAGUCGAUGAGAGACCAAUACCAAGUAAAAUACAAAAUCAAAAUGUUACAAAUAUAUCGAUAGCACAAGAGAGCACACAAAAAUAUAAUGCGAAGUUUCAAGAGAAAUUGCAAAGCAUCUCAGGACUAUUGUCCUCAUACAGCUUUGAAAGCAUCUCAGGACAGGAAACAAUUAAUGCCGCUAAGCAUUUAGCUGCUGCUCUUCGGACUUUCCAGCUGACAUCUUCAUCCCCCGUAUAUUCAGUCGCUCACUACAACAUAAUAAAGCCAGCAUAAUUAGAAAUCAUUUAGUGGACCUGUGACUCCGAGUCAAACAUAACCUCACACAGCUUGAAAACAUACUCAUCUUCCUUGAGUUUCAUCAUCAGAAUCCUCCUCCAUGCUAUCAGUGAAGUUCAGGUCUUUAAAGUUAAUGUGGCACGAGAUCAAAAAGAAAGAUUUAAACGAAGAGGUGCUGAAGUGGAAGAAGGUACGGAAACUAUGCAGCCUUUCCAUACUUUCACAACUCUAUUUUAAAGCUUUUUGUCCUGAUACAAUCUGUUUGGUGUUUGACAAUGUGGACGGUCUUACAUAUUUCCUCUUCCUAAGCUUUUUAAUCCUGCUCACCCUCCUUGGAUUAUCAUUUUCCUUCAUUUUCUCUAACUUCUCUUUCCUCCCUUCAAUAUCAGAUUGAAUAACUUUCUCUCUCUUUUCAUCUGACAGCAAAGCCAAUCUAGCAAAUUUCUUGGGCCUCACUAGGCCAAGCCUCUCGGUUAUUUCCUUAAAUGCAGGAACAAGACCGCGCCGUAGGAAGCAUCCAUCAAUCAGCUGCAUUGAGUUUGAUUCAGGGAGAGCUGGGGCAUCUUUCAACUCAAGGUCCAAACAAAACGGGGAGUCCUUUAACCACAUCCUGAGGGAGUGUGCCUUCGCUACAAGAAGGCCACUUCGUGUUUUGCAAGGCAGAAAAGGUGAACCCAUCUCCCAAAGGCAUGCCUUCAAUGUACUGUUAAGUGAAACCAUGUUGUACUCGGAUGUCCCCGUUAUCAGCACAACUGAUUUUGGAGAUUCUGGAUAACCCUCCAAUGAUGCAUCCUGCCAUAAGACAAGAACCUCUGUGUUAGACUCAAAAAUGAAAGGGGAGCUUCAAAAGGGUAGUGAUCUCAAACGAAACUGUGAAGGAGAAAGAGGGUUGCCUGCAUCUGAUCCAGCCAUAAAGUAAGACCAACAAGAGCAGAACCAGCUGAUAACUUUCUAAAGUCAGCAGCCCAGUCUUUGUCAGCUACCCUGAAUUUAAAAGAUUACUGGGUAUAAGCAAACCGAUGGAAACGGAAAUUGAUUGAUAAGGAAAACCACUUUCUUUUCUUUAGCCUUGAUAGACAUAACAUCCCAGAUGGUUGACUAUUGGAUCUACCAACACCUACCUGAACACAUCAUUGUUAUAGAUGCCUCUCUUUACUGCUAAUUGGAAAACCCAUGAAGCAGUGGCACGGAGUUCAUAUGCCCACAAAAGGUCCUCCAAAGCAUUGACAAAGUUGAAGGCUGCAUUGUCUUCCAAGGGUUCUAGUUUUUCUAGGCAAUGAUCUACUUCCAAAAUCAGUGACUCAGGUUUUUCUGUCACAAGCCUACAAGACAAGAUUUGCUUGGAGAUGGAUCAGAGGAGAAAAAACUUGGAAAAAGAAGAAAAGUCGGAUUGUGAUUCUAACUUGAGAACUAAUAAUUACCUGAUUGGAAGAUCAAAUCCGGCAUCACGCAGUGCAUUUAGGAGAAUAAUGGCUUCACUUUUGUGCUGGGAUAAACUUGCAGCCCGUAUAAAGCAAGUCCAUAUUCUAUGAUCUGGCUCCAGGCCUACUUCCUUCAUCUCAUUGAGCUUUUGAAUUCCAAUGUUAUAAUCUCCAUUCUUCAGAUAAGCACCAAUAACUGAACUAUAUGGUAACGUAUCAAGAUCUAAGCCAGUUACUUUCAAAUUGUCAAGCACCUUUUCAGCUUCCUGAGGCUGUCCAGAGCUGCCAUAAGAAACCAUAAGCAAGUGCAUUGUGGCAAAGUUGGGUUCUAUUCCGGCCUCUUUCAUCAUGGUGAACAACAUUUCAGCUUUGGCAUGGUUUCCUGAAUUUCUAAACAUUUUCAUCAUUGUAUGAUAGAAGGACCGAUCCAGUUUACAUCCAUUUGACCUUAACUCUUCAAAAAGUUCUUCAGCUUGAUCCAACAGCUUCUGCUUACCAAAUGCCGAAAUUAAGCUUUUGUAAGUGUCCAACUUAGGUUCUAGGCCCUGCCUUCUCAUUUCCUGCAUCAAUGAUAAACCUUCUUCUGGUCGACAAUCUCUGCAGUACAUUAUAAUUAAAGUAUUGUAAGUAUCGUCAUCAGGUUGAAGUACAGCUUCUUGAAUCUGCUGGUAUACUUUAACUGUCUUUUUGAAAUCCUUAAUUCCUGCAUAUAACUUAAGCAUGGAAUUCCAUAUUGAAAGAUCAGGCUUGAACCCUGCCUCUUCCAUCUCAUAAACCAUUGCUUCAACAUCCCUUACUCGUUUUCCCCUGCACAAUAACUUGAUCAUAAUCCUGAAACAAUCCAUGUUAGGAAAAUAACCUGCAGCCUUCAUUCCAUGGUAUAUCUUCUUUACCUCAAAUAUGUUACCUUCUCGAGCAAAUGCUUCAAGCAUCAAGAGAAUUGAACUCUUGCUUAUUUUUAAACCCAUAUCUUGCAACUCCUGGAUUAGAACAUAGAGCUCAUCCAAUCUCCCAUCAGCAAUCAGAGCUUGCAAAAGACCAUUUACAGAAUCAAUUGUUGGGGAAGGACCAUCUCUCAUCAUUGUGUUAAAGAUCACUCUAGCUCGCUCAUAGCAACCACUUGCAGCAUAAGCUUGAAUCAAGGCAUUCCAGACCUUCCUAUCCACUGCUUUACAUCUUUGUCUAAGACUUCCCACCAAACUUUCAGCUUUCUGCCACAGCUUCAAUUUCCCGUAGACUUCAAUAACAUUAACAUAUAUGUUGACAUUGUCAAAAAAAAUGCCUUUCAUUUCUGCCUGAUCAAUCAAAAGGUGGGCUGUCUCAGGGAAACCCAUCUUACAAUAGAUGAGCACCAUAAUUUGGUAAAGAUGCUCAGAUGGUUCAACACCAUAUAAUCUCAUGUCAGAAUAAACCUGAGAAGCUUCACCAAAGAGUUCAUUCUCUUCGCAGCCUUGAAUCAGGAUUUCAUACAUGGUUGAACUUCUGCUAAAAGAAUGGAACCCUCUGGUAUUACUAUAUUCCACCAAGGCAGCAUCAAAUCUGUGAGCCUUACAUUGUAUGACAACCAAUGCUUCAGUUAUAAGUUGAUUGGAACCGGGAGCAUGUUCUCUCAAAAAUUCAAGCAAUUCACAUGCUUCUGAGUGCCUUCCACAUGAACUAUAUGAACUGACAAUAGAUAAAAGACUUUCCCUGUCCAACUCAUAGCCACUGGUGAUGGCUAAUCUCAACAUUUUAGCAGCAUGGUCAUAACAUUCUCCCUUAACAAGAAUAGAAGAGAUAACUUGUGGGUUCAUACCACCAACUUUUUCCAUAUCUCUGAUCACUCUUUCAAUGACUUCCAAUUUAUUUUCUCUUCCAAGCACCCGCAACAUAAACCCAUAGAGGGCAUGAUCCAGCUUGAAACCGUCAUGCAGCAUUUCCUGAUACAACGUGAUAGCCUUCUUUGUCUCAUUGACCUUCAGAAAGAUAUCCAAUAUAACUGAGUAUGCUAGAUGAUCUGGUCUAAUCCCAGACUUAACCAUGCAAUCAAAUGUCUCUUGAGCCUCCACCUGUUUCCCAGCCUUGGCAUAUGCACACAUCAAAGCACUAUAAGUCCGAAGAGUGGGUUUCACUCCACUGUCCAACAUCUCUGACAUCACAUUAGCAGCCUCCGUUAUCUUAUUUGCUUUUCCAAGCGAAUCGAUCAAUACAGUGUAUGUAACAGCAUCAGGAGUCCGGCCUAGCAUUUUCAUGUCCCUGUAAAGCUGAAACGCUAGAUCAUGCUGGCCCUGCUUGCCAUACAUGUGGAUAAUAGUAUUGUAGGUCAUCUCAUCUUUACCAAACCCCAUUUUCAUCAUAUCUUCACCAAUAUCCCUCACCUUUUCUAUAUCAAGUUCUCUUGCAAAAGCAUACAACAAGGAAUUAUACGUCACUGCAUCUGGGAAAAACCCUUUCGACUCCAAUUCCUUAAAGAGCCGCUCAGCUUCGCUCGAUUCUCCACAUCUCCCAUAGACGGAAAUCAUGGCAUUGUAAGUCCAAAGAUCAGGCUGACAAUUAUGUGCUUCCAUAUCAUUGUAAACCUUCACUGCCUCCUCCAAAUUGGAUUCACGCGAACAGCCACUUAUAAGAGUAUUAUAAGUUAUUAUAUCUGGCCUAAGACCUGAUCUUCUCACCUCAUUUAAAAGGUCAAUAGCCAAGUUUGGUACCAUGGCUCCUGACCUCAGGCGAGCAUUUAUCAAAGUAUUGAGACUCACGAGGUCCGGUUCGCACCCUCUCUCACGCAUUAAAUUGAGCAAUUCUUGGACCUUAUUAAACCGGCCAUUUCGUGCAUAGACGCCCAUCAUGGCAUUGUACACUUGGACUGUAUUGCCAAUUCCGGGUUCAGCCCUCGUGAAUAUUUCCACAGCUAAGGCUUCCUGGCUAGCCUUUCCAAGGACUGCUAAGAUAGUGGCAAGCAUCCGUGCAUUCGGGGAGUACCAGUGGCGUAAAUUCAGCCACUCGUAGACCUCCAAUGCACGCUGCCAGCUCGACUGGCCAACCCAUUUCACCACAAAGCAAAAAUCAGUUGGGGUCAUUUGAACUUUCCUAUCAUCCAACACAUCAGCCACAAACUCGUCGGGUUUCAGUCCCAAAAUCCUAUCAGUAAAAAGUUUCACUCUUUCUCUCCAAUCUUUGGCUCUUUUGAGAGCCAGUUUGGUCAUUUUCUUGGCCUUAGUCUUGCUGUGCCUCCCCAACACUUGUUGGGUUUCAUCAUUCGUAUCCAAAGAACCCACAGAACCCAAAUUCAGGUCUUCUUCCUCUUUCCCCUCAGAGUCGGAAUCAGGGGAAUCUUGCACAACAUGGGUCGUGAGUGGAGGAGUGA
rnacentral:lncRNA from 1 species